UUUUUUUUUUUUUUUUUUUUGCAUUCUUUCAUUUCUUUCUACCUUAUAGGUGGUAACAUUUUAAAGUUUUACAACCGUAGGUAGAACUUCUAUUAGAAGAGGGCCUACUCUUGUGUCUUUCUUGGAGUACUGUUUUUCUUAUGUCAUCUGCAGCGGUCUUUACAUAUUAAAAGAUGGAUUUUCCUUAAAAGCUCAAGUAAUAUUGGAUUUGGAUAUCACGAACUUAGAGAGAUUAUUUGGGUAAAAAAAAGGAUUAUUCUGACUUUUUUAAAAAAAUAAUUAAGUACCUUUUAGAUCAUGAUGAAGGUUUCCGACACCAGUAGCUAGGAAACAAGCUUGGUUGGUUGAUGACGGCUACUUCACACAAUAUAAAGAAGGGGAAAAGAAUAGAGGUUGAUUAAAUCCUCAACACAUUCCAUUUUGGGUUAAUUACAAUUUAUCCCGUUAAUGGAUAUCCUAAUUCUCAGUUUACUUCCUAAUUUUUAAUGUGUCACUUAAGCUCCUACAAGACAAAACUACCCCUCUAUUAUGCUGAUUUUUUUCUUUUUUUUUUUUCUCUCUCUCUCUUCUCUCUUUUAUUCCAAAUUAGUUUUCUUUUUCAAAUUUUUAUUUGAAAGAAAAUAAAAAGUUUCUCUAACAAAAAAUUUAGAUUGUUCAUUCUCUAACUGACAAAAUUCAAAAAACCACACAUUUCUGUAUAAUCAGUUAAUUACAAAUCAAUUUCACAUUUUCCAAUUUAAGAAAUUAAGAAAAAAUUAUGUAUUUAUUUUCUUUUAAUUAUAAAAUUCAAAUUUAAUUAUGCAUUUCUUUAUAUCACACAUUCACAUGCCGAUUACCGGGGCAUUUUUUUCUUUAUUCCUCUAAUGGAUUUUUUCUCAUUAGGGUCUUUUCUUUGCCUUUUUCUUAAAAUGUAAUCAAUUUUUGGUAUAUUCCUUAAUAUAUCUACUCAUUUCAUGUGAAACUUUAUUACCAUCAAUUAGAGUGGUCAAAAUUCAAUCACAGUUUAAAAUUCAUUUAGAAAAAGGAAGAAGAAAAAGUAAAAAUACAACUUAGAAUUUUAAAAGGUUAUUUUGGCCUCUCAAGGGGUCAUGUGACACAAAAUAAAUGUUAGAAAGUAAAGUGAGAAUCAAAAUAUAUGUUAGGAAAACAAUUAUGAUUAAGCCUUCUAUUUUCAUUUUCUCCCUUUUUGGAAUUAAAAUUGGGGGUUUUAUGUAGCCAAAGUCAAAUGAAUUACAAUAACAAGAGGAUGUAUUAAGUUUGUCAUUAACAGUUGAAACAAACAGCUACAACAUACAUAUUUUCAUUCAAAUUCCUUGGGCAGUUGAAUAUUUGAACUCUAGAAAAGAUAAAAUUAAACUUCAAUUAGGUUAGGGAGCUGACCUAAUUUAAAUGUAAAUUAAAUUUUAUGGUGAAGAGGUAUACAAAUAGUUCUAGUAAAGGAAUUAAGUAUUAAAAUGAGAAACAAAUUUUCUUGGUUGCCUACUUUGUUAUCCGCAUCUGAGUUGACAAUAUUUUCGUUUUGCCUUUCCAUCUUAAACCGACAUAUGAUCGUUAAUGUCGUCCAAAUUUGGAGAUGAUAGGCGUCUCAGGUCACAACCAUAUCUACCAUUUGUUUUUGUUCAAACAAGCCUAGGAUACAAAGAACGGAAAAUUCUAAUAUUCGCUAUAGAGUCAAAAUUAAACUAUUUUUCUCAAGCAAAUGACUUACACUAUUAAUAUUUGAAUUAGGACUAAUUACAUUUUGCAUUGACCUUUAACGUUUGUGGCAUAUCCCUCCCGCUUUGCUCCUUUAGCAUAUUUUUUGGAAACUUGCAUCCUAAACUCAUCAAAUUGUUUAGAAUCAUAACAAGUGUGUUUAUUAAAUAUAAUUAUAGUUAUAGGCAUUAAAUGAAAGAAAAAAGAACAAAGUACUGUAUUUCACAUUGAUGUAGAAACAUAAUAAUAUGAUUAUUAUUGUCCUUAUAAUAUAUAUUGGCUUUUAUCGUAUUUAUUUUAUCCAUAAAUUAUAGUUAUAGAAAAAGUCAUAAAGAAAAACAAAAUGAAUAAAAUCAAAUUAUCAAAUUAUUAUGAAUAGGGCGAUCAAUAAGUAUGUAGAUAUUCACUCAUAGACAAUAAAAUCCAACCCCCAUUGCAUAUUGUUACUUAUUGAGUAUAGACUAAAUUUGCUUCUCUUUGUUCCUACGAAGAGAAUUGUUCCAUUAUUUUAUUACCAAGAGAAUAGAAUAAAUAUUAAUCCCUAUUCUGAAUAAUCCACCGAACAGGGGGUCCAUAGGAUAGUUAUAGUAGAGUCUUUUCUAAUACAAUAAAGUUACGUAGUGUCUAUUUAGCUUUGAUAAAGGAGUAUUUUCAUGGAUUUGCCUUGGUAUCACGUUCAUACUAUUGUAUUGAAUGAUCCCAGCCACUUGCUUUCUGUUCAUACAAUGCAUACAGUUUAGGUUGCUGGUUGGGGCUAGUUCGAUGGCUCUAUUCGAAUUAGCAAUUUUUAAUCCUUUUGAUCCUGUUCUUGAUCCAAUGUGGAGAUAGGAUAUGUUUGUUAUACCCUUUAUGACUUGUCAUGGGGUGGUUGAAGUAUCACAGGGAGAACAGUAAGGAAUGCGGGUAUUUGGAGUUACGAAGGCGUAGCAGGGGCAUAUAUUGUGUUUUUUUUUUUGUGAUUCUUAAGUAUUAAUUCCCCUAUUUGGUGUUAAAACGGUAAAUUGUUGCAUUGUAUAGCCGUCAAUUGUUGCUAGUCACUAACAGUGUGUGAAAUCAUACUAAUUUGAGAUGAAUUGGAAAUUCUAGAGUACAAAGUGUCUACAAGAAAUUUUACCUUUUUUCUUCUUUUUUUGUUUUUUGGUUUAAGGGAAAACUCAUAACCUUGUAAGAGAAAAACAAAGGGUUUGAGAGUUGAAACAUGAACGUCAAGCUCACUUAACCAAUGAAUUGGUCACAUCUUGAUUAAAGCUAUUUAAGCGAUGCACACAUAAGGAGAUUUGCAUAUAAGAUGCUAAGCUGGGUCUUGGGCUGAAUUACUAUGAUUUGUGCAUGAGAACAUUCGGUUGAGUCACACUAUUAAACUCAAAAAUGCACAGAUGAGAAGAAAAGGUAAAAUCACAAAUCAGAGAAGCUUCAGCCGGAUUACAUAUUUUUAAUGGUUUCUCUUGCUUGAAAUGCGAAUUGACAAAAUGGUUCCUCUACAUUGAUCUUGGAUUUUAAGGGUUUUCAUUGUCCAUACUGCUGCGAUUCACUAAUUUAUUCUCAUUUUCAAGGGAUUUGCACUCAUCAAGUAAUAUUUUGAAUUCAUAUAGCGUGCAUAAAUAUCUAUCAUAUGCAUGAAUAUAAAUUUGAAUACUAUAAAGAUAUAUCUGUAUGUAUGCAUGUAUAUUAAAUUUGUAUAGACACAUACACGUUUAUAAACUAUGUACAAGGUAUAGGCUUAUCCAUUUUAACGCACUUUAUCACUUUAAGUGAUUUUAUUAAGACUUAAUCUUAUAUAUAUUGACAAUGUAUACACUAUUAGGAUUGGAUAUAUGAUGCAUAUGCAAGAUUUGAAAUUUUAAUUCAAAUUAGAUUAAUUGUUAUAUAUCUAAUGGUGAUAAUGUAUACACUGUCAAUGUAUAGAAAAUUAAUGUUUUAAUGAAGAUCCUUCUUUCACCGAAAUUUAGAAUUUCUGACUUCCCCUUCUUUCUCCCUACGACAUUCAAUGCAAUAACAUCUUGACAUUGGCACAUUCAACAUGACCCUCCAGAUAUUCAGGGGGUCAAAUUUAUGCUUGCACCAUUUGUACAUUUGCCAAAAUUGAGACUAAGAAUUAACUGUUCCAGUGCUUCAAGAAAUGGUCCUAUGCCACUUUCAAGAGAUCACCAGAAUUCAAGUAAUAUAUAGUUUUUGAGAACUAUUCCGAGUUCGAAUGGGCAUCAAUUCACCCCUAAAUAGAAGCAAACGGAGAAACACCAGAGGGAGCAGUAGUUCACAACUUCAACUUGUGCAUUCAAGCCUUUCUCUAUUCAUUCUUAUUGUCGUCGAUGUAAAGUACAAAUUGAAGAAGUUGAUAUACAUAGAAAGGGACUGCCACCAAAAUAGCUUAAUUAUAAUCUUAUCUAAUAUUCCAACUUCAAUAGAAACACUACUCGUGCUGCAGCUGCUAUAAACUGCAAACUGCUUUGUAUUGAUAAGAAAAUUGAUCCCCUGAAUAUCUGUCAAGGGCAUCGUGAUGGACUGGGAUUCUUGCAAUUGACACAGCAAUUUCACCAUGCAAUUGAUCACCCUAUAUUGGUAUAAUUUGAAUUUGAUUAAUGGAUGAAAUUGAUCGUGGGACAUAACUUUCAUUUGGCGACAAAAUUUGUUUUCUUUUUGUACAUUAUUCUCUUAAUGUCAAGAUUUGCAAUUUCAAAUCAUAAUAUUGUAUCAUGUUUACGGGAUUUGUCAUUAAAAAACAAAAGUAUCAUGCAGCAAUUGCAAAGACUUGAAUCGCAUGGUGACAUGUAUAUUUGGCCCUUGGAGGACUAAAGAUGAGAGAGCUCAAUGCCUGUCUACAUCUGUUGCGUUAAUGAUUACAUUGUGUAUGUCGCAAUUGCAAAAGCCGGAAUCCCAUGGUGACCUGUAUAUUUGGACCUUGUGCGUCUAAAGAUGAGAUAGCUCCAUUCGAAUUCCAGAAUUAGUCCAAAAUUCCAGACAACUACAUAAUAUUUGUCAAUAUGCAUGUGGACGGAAAUACUUGCAAUAAGGCAGUAGAUAAGGCCUGCAACAAUCAUGAAAUAAUUUAUGUAACAAAAUUAGAAACCAAUAGAAAUGCCAAGAGGCUAGAAAGAACGAUAGGAAAGGGAACCAAUUAUAUAUGAAAGUCCAAAAAAGUAUAUGUGGAAUUGUGCUUGGGCGCCAUGAAUAUUAUUAUCAUAAGGGAUCAUCAUUUCUACCAUUUAUUUCUGGUGAGAAUUUCUCUUCUAGAAGAGAAGAAUGUGCCAAAUAUCACUUUAGCCUUCCAUGAAACUUGAUAGUUGUUUUGCAAAGAACAAGAGCCCUUGGUAUACGGUUGUAUCCAAACUUCGCUGUGAGCUACACGAGUGUAUUUCAAGUGUCGUCACUUUGAUUUUUGUUUUAUCUUCUGACUUGUGCUUUUACUUAUAUUUUUCUUCAAGAAAGAAAAAUGCAAAAGCAUGAAGUUUAUCAGCCCAUAUAAGUAAUGAGCUAAGUUAAAACUUAAAUACUCAUGACCUUCUUGUCAUUGGAUUGCUAAUUUUAAAAUUUUUAUAGAAAAAUAUAUUAUAAAGAUUUGAUGUACGUAAAGUAAAAAAACGAUUUCGAAAAUGAUGUAUUCAUGAAAAACGUAAAAGUUUUUUUUUGAAAAAAGAAAAAAACUGCAAUCCAAACAAGCCUUACAUUUUGAUGAUUCCAGGUGACUUAGGAAAUUAACUUAAGGAUAAAUUUGGUUGGACAAUUGUGAUGCCAAAGUGAUGCACCGCCUUCUUGAAGAAGCAAAACCCUUUAUUAGACAUAGAUAAACAACCAAAAAAAAGGAGAAGAAAGCUGGAAGAAUAUAGCAAAAAUCAAGCAAACGAGCAUACUAUAUCCUGUUGCCCAAACUCUAGAUUGAGGCUUCUGUCGUUUUGAAAAAAUUCACGAGGAUCAUGUUACAUUUGCACUCACAAUCUUGGGUAGCUGAGAUCAAUUUUUCUUGGAAAAACCUCCCAAAUUUUUUUGUGUGCAAACCAACAUUUUAGCCAUUUAUACAAUUUUUAUCAAGAUUUGGAAACACCCAGCCAUAAACUACUAUAAGCAAAAAUGGUGAUAAUUGGAGACCAAUCCCUGGCGCAUUGGGCUUCAUGUAAUUUUUUUUAAAAGAAGAAAAGAUUGCUUAACUGAGCAAAAUUUAAUUGAAGAUAAGAAUUAGGCUAAUUAAAAAAAAAAAAAGGCUUAUUGCUACAUCUAAUUGGUUGGAUGAAGCAAGUCAUGAAAGCUACUGCAUGAAGGUAUCAGUGUAAAUAUGAAGUCUCACCCUUUUUUAUUUCUUUUAUUUUUUUAGUAAGGAACAUGUGAGAUUUAAGGAGUAUGGAGCGAGUGGAGGAUUUUAAUUCAAUACUUCUAAUUUUUGAAAUUCAAUCUUAGCCAUUAGACGUGAAGUCUCCUUUAUGUUAGCAACUUAACAUAUAACGACAAAAGAAUGUAAUCAAAUCUUUAAAGGGGAAAAAGUGAAAUUGUAACAAUCAAGUCAUUUUGUGCAACUGGAGAUUAUAAAAAAAAUAGAAAAAAACUGGUAUCCAAAAAUAAGAAAAUAAAAAAAUGCAUACAAAGAAAAAAUCCAAGGCACGAAAACCGUUCCCAACAAUUUCUUUGCAUCAUGGACAUAUCAUAUUUUCAAUAAGUUACUGCAUUAUGGGUACAAGUUGAAACUGCAUUUUUGCUUCUACUUAGUACCUUUCAGUUUUUCAGAAUUUUUCACCCCUAGAGAUCCUACGAUCUUUCAAGAGCUUGCUUCAAAAUUUUGAUUUUAGGGGCCAAAAGUACCUCAAAUUUCUAAAAUAUGAAGAUUGUGCGGAGCUUAUUUACACCAUUUUUAACAUUGUGAAAUUUACAAAAUACUACUAAAAACGUUACCUAUUGUACAGAAUGAUUGAAGAUUCUUUACUAAACAUUUCACAGCAGACAAUCGUCCUGCCCCCCAUAACAUGUUGCUGCAAAAUGGACCAAUCUGGUAGCAACCAACUUGCAUCUCUGAUUUAUUUUAUUUUGUUAACCCCCAAACACUUCAGAGGUAUCACCUGACAGAUAUGAUUGUUUGUUAGAAUCCCAUCAAAGGUCUGUCCUAAACAGUAACACGCAACAUUAUUGCCUUCAAUGAAUGCAGUUCCCUGUAACAAUUUUUUCUUUUUUGGGAGGGGUAAUGAUUGAGUUUGUUUGGAUACCCCAAUUAUUUCAAAUAAUAUUUCGCUUGCAUCAUAGACACAUUUUCCAACCCACCUUUUUAUAUUCCCAAUCACCUUUUUAUCUCACAUACAUCACAUCACAAAAAGUGCUACAGUAAUUAUUCCAAAUAAUAUUUCAAAUAAUACACUAUCCAAACAAACCGUUAUACUGUCUUUUAUUUUCAAAUUUUAAACUCAUGAUUGAAUUAUUAUGUCCUAUUCCUUUUUCAUUCUCUAAAAAUACUCCUGUUUGAAUUGCUAUUUUUAGGGGAUUUUAUAGAAAAAUGUACUAUAGUGAUUUGAUAUAUAACAUAAAAUAGUGAUUAGAACAUGUGUUCACGAAUUACUAUUUUUAAAAGAUUUUAUAUAAUACUUAGUUACUUUGUUUGGAUACCUCAAUUAUACCAAAUAAUAUUUCGCUUGCAUCAUAGACACAUUUUCCAACCCAUCUUUUUAUAUUUCCAACCACCUUUUUAUCUCACAUACAUCACAUCACAAAAAAUGCUACAGUAAUUAUUCCAAAUAAUAUUUCAAAUAAUACACUAUCCAAACACUAUACUAUAAUGAUUUGAUAUAUGUGAAAUAGAAAAAUAAUUGAAAAAUAUAUUCACGAAAAAUAUAAAAAUUUUUCUAGAAAAGAUAACAAUCCAAACAAAAACGGCUUCUAAUGGAAUGUGUGGCUGAUUCUAGUCAUCCCAUUCCCCAGAAAAAGACAAGGCAAAGAGAAUAAAAGAAUGGAUGACUAGAUUCUGCACUAUAUUAAUACAAUUUUACAAGAAUAGAUCAGUUGAAAUUAUAAAAAAAGAAAUCUAAUGCAAGUCUUCGUUCAACAAAUAUUGAAAUCUGAAAUUCAAAAUCAUGCGACAUAAAAAUUUUUUUUAUCAUAUUUAUUUUUAUGUAAAUCACUUGUUCCAUAGAAGAUCAAUUUCUAGUAUAACUCUAAUUCAUAUACUCCCUCCAUUACUGUUAUAAUUCAACUUUUCUUUUGAUAUAAUAGAACAGAACUGUACACAUACAAGAGAGCAUUCCCUAGUAAUGCUAACAGUUGACAAACCCACUAAUUAAUCUAUUGUACGUUUACCUUACAUCACUAUUACAAUCGACUAAUAAAAAAUUUUUGAGUUAAACCCCAUUCCAUUGCAAGAGUUCGGGUGAAAUAAGGCUUACCAAUUUAAAUUUAACACAAAACAUUAAUUGCUUUUUAUUUUUUCCGUUUCAAAGAAAUAACUUUUCGAGAUAGAAGAACACAUUUACCACUUGAAAAUGUUGAAUUCUAAAGUUACAUAUAUCUGAAUUCUUUUCAUACCAUCUCAUAAUAAAGGUGACUCCAACGUUAGGACGGAAAGAGUACGUAACUGUCUUUUGGUGUGGACAUCUUGUCUUAUAAGCGUCAACCACUCCAAGCCGUACUAACGAAGGAAUUGUGUUUGUUUCUUUUGCAAAAUUUCUACUCUCAGUACGGGAUAUAUUAACAAUUAGUGAUUAAGGCACACUCGCUAUGUGUGCAACAAUAAAAACAAGAAUAUAUAUAAAAUUAUUUCAUGAAAAUCUAAGCAUGAAAGGAGAAAAUAUUGAGGUAAUUUAGAAAGCAUGAAAAAAUGAAGAAAGAAAGGGAAAAAAAUCGUGACAAAUAUUUUAUUUCAUAUUUCUAUCUCUAUCAUAAAUUUAGAUGAAAUGUAGCCUAUACCGCAAGACGUUUCACUUGCAACUGGCAGGUUACGGGUUCAAGUCAUCAAGGGGGUAAGUAAAGAAUUACUGUUAAUCUUCUUUAAAAAGUUUUUAAAAAAAAGUCCGUUCAAUCCAACAGUUCAACUGAUCAACCUUGAAACCUAGUCACUUAGUCAAGUUGGAUUAGUAGUUGGAACAGAUAAAAGAAGAAGCUGAUUGACUAGUCAAUAACUUAUCGAUUCAACUGAUAAAAUUCGAAAAAUUGGCCGAUUCAACUGCCAAUUCAAUAAAUUGUAUUAUUUCAAAAAAUUUGAACAUAUUAUUUUGUGAUAUAUAACUAUCGGUUCAACCAAUAGACAUGUAGUGAACCAUUAACCUGUUAAACCGAUUGCCUUGCUGGUUCAUGUCCUAGUGGGAUUUAAUAACCAUGGUUAACACUUCUGCUUUAAUAUAUAAAUUUGAAGAAUGUCAGAAAUAAAUGUGGAGAUGUUGUAAAUAAAAAUAGAGAAAUUAACAGAGUAAAAGAUGGGAAGACGGGGUAAAAUAGUGACACAUUUUAUAACACUAUAAAGGGCUUCCCACUGAGUCUAAACGGGCCAAAGUCGAUUAAUCCUUUAAAUCCAAUUGGCAAUUGCAACAUCUGAUUGAUAUCAUCACCACAUAAGCCAAAUCGACAGCCGUUCGGUUUCAGUUACAAAACAACAAAAGCUAUUGUUAACAAAUUGAGAUUCUGAUGAGCCAUAUUGGAAAGGAGGGGUAAAGAAACAAGCAAGAAAAGUUGUAGUUCAUGGAGAAUUAUUGUGAAGUACUAUGAUGAAAGGAGUAGCUAGCAAAAUGAAAAUUUUUUGGACAAACUUCAUUCAGGCAUUGGCGGAGCUCUUCCGUUCUCGAAGUACAUGUCCGAGUAAUACGUGUCUUGGUGGACUUUGUUUUUCUUCUUAUCAUGUUGUAUGGAAUUAUUGAUAUAGUCCUUUGCCCCCCAUCAUCUUCCAAAUAUUUGGUCCAAUCAUUUGUCCAUUGUCAUCUUAAUCACUGUCUUAUUCUUUGGAGGUGGAUCUUCCUUCAUAUCCGGGGCAAAAAGAUGUCGGUUUGAGUGUCGUUUAGUUGGAUAUUCAAGAGACCCCCACCCCCCCACAACUCUUUAAGUCCUCCAUAGCCCUUGUCCGUGUCUCACUCUAUACACAAAGACAAAUGGCCAACAGGGACUGCUCAUUUUGGAUGCCUUCGUGUGAUUUGAUUGAAGUUAUCCUCGAGGCACUUUGUAUUGGAAAAGUUACUUUAAUUCUCCACUACUCUCCAAGCACUCCUUUAGAUUUGGCAAGCGGAAUAUACAAACAUGGGCAUGAUUUUUGGACUACAUAAAACUUCUUCUCUUAUAUAUGAGCUGGUUUAAAUGCAUGACACAUAAUUUCUAUUCAAAUUUAAAAUUUUUUUGUGUGCAAAAGAAGGAUAGUAACUUAUUUGCAAAAAAAAAAAAACGAUUGCAUUAUAAACACAUUUUCAAUCAUCUUUUCAUCUUUUUAACUAGUUUCUCAUCUCAUAUACAUCACAUUACAAAAAAAUUUUCAAAAAAAUUAUUCCAAAUAAUCUUCUAUCCAAACACACUCCUUAUUUUGUACAUUCAUCCUUACACCUGCAUCCUCUCGUGUUAAAAGAAGUCUAUAUAUUGUCAAUGUAAGACAAAUAAUAAAAAUAGUUGAAAAACUUACCUCAAGAAUAAUCACCGUGGCGAUCCUUACAAGGGACAAAAAGAAGAAAAAGAAAAAAGAAAAAGCACUUUAUUUUAACCCACAGUCACACUCUGAUGAUCAUUCGCAUCCCCAAACCCAUUUAAAGGAGCACAAACCCUAACUAGUGACAGUGCCUUGUCAAAGUGUUUGGCUUUGGUGCCAAGAUACUCAGUCCAAGUGACUGGCCUGUAUAGAGGAGGGCGGCCUUGGUCUACUAGUUUUUGAAGCGGUGAAAUUGUAACACCGGAUGGGGGCCCAUAAAGAUAAGCUACGGAGAACCGAUGUCGGGUCCGGUUCACGACGGCCCGGUGCAGUACACUAGGGUAUAACCCGUUGGAUAGUAUGUGAAGGAGGUCCCCAAUAUUGACCACCAGAGCUCCGGGAAGAGGAGGAACCGUGACCCACCCGGCCCCGCCGUCACGGAGCACCUGUAAACCACUGGUGUUAUUCUGGUGGAGGAUGGUAAGUAUGGUGGAGUCCGUAUGCGCAGCUAGACCCAUGGCCCGGUCGGGCUCCGGACAGGCCGGGUAAGAGUUCAAUUGAAUGGCAGCAUUUCCACCUUCAAAGGCUCCUUGAGGGCUAGCCCAUUUCACCGCCUCCUCAGUUAUGCCCAGUGACCCAAGAAUUAACCACAUCAGCUUCCCCGCGAGCUUUUUCAUUUCCUUCUCGUACUCUUUAAUUACAGUGCUGCAGUAAAAAUUAAAUUAACUGAAAGUUAAUUGAAGAAGUUGUCUAAAGAAAAACAGCAUGCCUUUUUGUAUUCAUUCAACAACAGACUAAGAGAAGAAGGGGCAAAAGGGAAUCUUAAUUUUAGGAAUCUUAUAUAUCUAGCUAAAUUCCAUAUCUUAAUUGUGGGACCAUAUCAACUUUGAUAUAGGUAAUCUUUACCUAUUGGAUCUUAUUGGAUCAAGGAGAUUGUCAUGUACUUCACUCAACUGAAGUCCCAAAUGGAUAGUAAAAAUCACCCCAAAAUUCAUCCCAAAAAAAUUAGAUGAACAUAUUCUACAUUUGCAAAAUGGAAAAUGAAAAUCAAUUUAUACACGUGCAUGAGCAGGUAAGGAUGGAUAUAUACCAGAAUUCAUGGUAAUCAUGGGGCCAAAGUUGACGUGCAUGUUCCAGUGGAGAACCAACAAUGGUGAACCCUUCGGACCACAUAAGUUUAGGGAAGAAUGAAGAAAUACGAGCGACUCCAUAGCCAGAGACCCCCUCAGGGGAACGAGCAGCUUUAAGUUUUUGAUGCAUGGGGAGCGAGAAAAGUCCUUUUCCGGCAGACUCAAUUUCCUCGAGCAAGUUCUUGGAGAUGCCAUGGUUUUUGACUUGGAAAACGCCCCAUGUUUUGCAUGCAUGGCCGAGUAAAUCUUGGGCAUUUUUACCAGCCAGAUCAACAACAGGAACCGUCUCAACGUUGAGUAAUUCGCCACGAGGGUAGUCGUCCUUUGGCGGAGCCGUAGUCCAUGCAUGGGAGUCAGGUAACUUCUUGACUCUGCUUAAAUCCAACUGUUUAUGGUGGAAAUAGAGAGGCUGAGCUCUCAUGCUAUCUGAAGCCCUUGAUGGCAUUGUUUAUAGCUAGGUCAAGAAACAGGAAGAUUUUAAUUAGAAAUUGAUGUAUGGAAGUUGCAAUACUCCGGCAAGGGGCGGCGCUACGGGUGGAGGUGGAGGGACUAGGGAGACUUGUGAUGUAAGUAUCGUGUGAGAAGUGAGAAAGAAUUGAUGUUAUGCAAGGGAAUUGAUGGUGUCUGCCUUGUAUAUUUAUAGGGAUGAGGGGAGAAGAUGGUGACAAGGUGGGAUACAAAUAGUUGAUCUAUUGGAGAUUAUGGAGUAGCAUAAUUUUUGUUGUUUUUGUUAUUAUUUUUAGUUUACUUUUUAGUGGUCUAGGGGUUAUCAAAUUUUGGAAGGGACAGAAGUGAUAGAAGGUUAGGCAGUCAUUUACUAAUUUUGUAGUGGACAAGUGAAAGAACAAGUAAAGAUAGACCAUCAUGUCCUACAUGAAAUAUGAAGAAAAGUAUAAAUUGCCAUCUCAUCGCUCAAAACAAUAAAUUAAAAUAAAAAAACCAAAAAAAAAAAAAGAAAGGCAUCUCAUCUCACAUUAACCAAGCUGCUAUUCCAUGAGAGGACUGAGGAAAGAGUCAAUCUCUCUCCAUGUGGCCGUGUCUUGUCUUCAAGUAGAAAAACAUCUACAUCACCCCCUUCACUGCUUGGUCUAGAUCUCUCUUGGCUAUAGGACAAUGCAUACUAUUUUCCUAUAGCUUUUCUUCUUUGUCCUUCUCUUCUCAGUUAAAAAAUUGAGGAUAUAGGGAUGCUAAAAUUAAUCACAUGUACUAGUAGUUGAUAUCAUGGUUAUUCUGUCCUAUGUCACUCUUGUAUAAAAGGCUUUAAGAAAUUGAUUCAGACUGAUUACGAUUAUCCAAUCAUUUUUUAAGAUACAGAUAUCCUACGAUGUAUUCAGUCAAACUUUUAUCAAGGGGAGGAUCUAUAAUUAAUUUUGGAAAGUUACAGACUACUACUCUUAGUUACCAAAAUUUAUUGUUAUCCUAUUUUAUUAUUUCUACUUUUACUCGACUAUCUAAUGUCUCCAAUGGUACGAGAAACGAUGACAAUUGAGGGAGUUUAUAUACAUACAUCUGUAACUUUCAUCUUCUUAUGUGAUGCUAAUGUUUGAUGUUUGCCUUACCCUUUUACCCUUUUGUACGGAUGAAUCCUCUAUCUAUCUUAUAUGAUGCGCUGCUUUGGAUUGGUAGGGGACCCUAAAAAUUGUUAAGACCUGUUUUGGUGCUCUACAUGAUCUGGGCAAGAGGUGAUAGGAGACCUCUUUUGGGCUUAUUCGUUCAAAAUUCGAAUCCGACUGUGACAAACAAGGUAACAGUUUGACCAAUUGAGCCGAUAAUUAAAAACCUAAUAAAGAAAAAACCACAAAAAAGAAAGAAAUAAAGAAACGGAAAUCAAAAGAAAAUUAAAAAGGCCAAUUUUGUUUCCUUGUGUUUUUAUUUUUCCAGUCAAACUCAGCAUUAUCAAAUUUAUCCGAGUCAAUAACUGGCCAAAUUUUUUUGGUUUAGUCGGACCAAACAACCGUUUGAUUCUCGGUUGAACCGGUUGAUUCUCGGUUGAACCGGUUGAACCGACUAGGCCCACCCAAGUUUUAUGAACCGCUUUUGUACGAUGGGGGAUGGGCAUUAUUGUCCUCCCAAAGACAAAAAAAAAAUCAGGUAUCUUUCGUGCUUUUUCUUCUUUGCAAUUGGUCAUUUCGGUGAUAAGUAAUAAAGUUACUUUUGGUAUUUUGCGGUUUAGAUUUGCCGUCUUUUGUCCCAUAGUAGACCCAAGAGUCGGACCAUCUCUAAAUCCAUCAUCUUUACUCGAAGAACAGAAUUGAGACUGUUUUGUCUUAACACUGGCAAAGGGGUCAUUUUCUGAUUAUAUGUCAUGCUUAUGCAAAUUAAAGUCUUUUACACUAGAAUUCUGUGUCAAAAAUAAUUGCUCACAGAAAAAUCUUUUACUAACCCCAUGUAAGAAUUAAUUCAUCUACUACUACUCAUCUGUAAGGGUGUGACAACUUGGUCCACUAGCAUCUGAUUGGACUGACAGAUGCAUUAUAUUAAGUAGACAUGAUUAGAGUUGGAUAACCAUUUAUCUAUCUCUGUCUCAAUUGGUUGCUUUCUGAACCAAAACAGCUAACUUGUGGAUUGUAUACAUACGAAAGAAAUGGGCAGCUGUUGCGAUGCUCAAUUGCACAUGUUCCUGCCGAAUGGACCAAGCAGGUCGCAGUCAACUUGCACCUCUGAUUUAUUUUUAUGGCAUUAAGCGAAACGUGAACAUAGGUUUCAAAGCAAAUGGUAUGGCCCUUAGAAUUAACUUUAUCUGAAGAAAAGAGGAAAAAUAGGAUGUAGUUAUAGAAUGAGACAUCUUUCUCUUUAUUUUUAUCACUUAAUUCGACUAGUAGUCGUAUUUUAUAUCUUUUUAUUUAUUGUGUUUACCUCCAACUUCAAGAAGUCGAAAUUUUUUGGCACGAUAAUAGUAUUGAACAGCAUCCAUUUGAAAUUUUGAAUAUGGUGCUGCACCAUGUCCAACGUACAAGACCCAAAAACAAAAACCCAAAAAAAAAAAAGAUUUAUGGUACGUGUCUUGUUUUACUUUGAUAAUUAUUCACUCAGAAAGGAUUGACAAAAGGCUGCUAGUGGUAUAUAUGUUGGUGAUUUUCAAUGUCAUUUUAAGCAGAGGUUAGUCCAAAGAGGUUGGGGUACUUAGAAACUCGUGUUCGUCUAAGAACUCAGACAAGAAACUAACUAUGGGUGCAGAUUAAUUUUUUUUACACUAACAAUGUAAUAUUUUGUUUACAUUACUAAGUGUAAACGCGUUACAUUGUUCCAAAUGAAUUUCAAAGUUUAAAAAAGCUUAUGUGUGUCAUACAAUCAAACUCGAUAAGCUUGCAUAAUAGGAAAACCUUUACAGUACUGGCGUCCAAAUAUGGGAAUAAAUUUUCUAGGUUAUCAAUGAUAGCAUUUGGGUUGCUAUGUAUUAUUUGUAAUGGUAUGUGACGAUUUUUUCUACAGAGGUAGAAUUUGAUAGAAUUUGAUUUUGUUACCUGCAGAGUACAAUGAAAUAUGUCAUUCAGAGAUGGAGACGUGCUCUUGGUGUUAAUGUUUGUGGCAGUGGGCUAGAUUCCUAUGUGGUAGGAAGGUGGCGGCUAUGGUCUGCAGUUUGGGGUGUGGGAUUGAUAUAAUUGAGGCUGUGCACUUGCUAAAGGUUGAUCUAACAUUGUAGCCAAGCUCUUUUGGGUACUUGAUGUGAAGGUUUCAAGUUGAUUCAAUUAUUUGCUGUGGAAGCCUAUAGGUAACAAAGGGAUUUUGGGGCUGCUCAAAUCUGCUGGAUUUAGUUUAGAACUUUUGUAAUUGACCAAUUGAAUUUGAGAACUUGUUGGAUUGGUUUGGGGGAGUGAUAGGCUUGUAGCAAGCAAGGAUGAAGCAAUGAAGUGGGUACAGAGAACCAUUCUUUCCCCCUUUUUUUGUGUUUUUAAUUAUGACCACAAGGUUAUUUUAGAAUUUUGAAACAAAAAAAAAAACCUAACCUUUUAGGUCUACAAUAUUAUUGAAACUAUGAAAAUAUGAGAGGUAGAUGUAAUUUGUAAAACUUGAGGGGAGCUACAUGCAAUUGUCAUAAGCUGCAGGGAAAGUUUGUGAUGUUAUCCCCAAAAUUCAUACAACUCUCUAAAGUCUAAAUGAAUACAAAUCUUGCCCUAAGAAGAAUCUUCUUCGCUUGUGUUUGGUUUGUAAAUUAUUUGAGAUAUUUUUUCUGUAACACUGUUUGUGAUGUGAUGUAUGUGAGAUAAAAAGAUAAUUGAAAAAAUAAAAAAGUGUAUUGGAAAUUGUAAUAGUGAUGUAAGCAAAUAUAUUUGGGCAAAUAAUCUGCUGUCCAAACACUGUGGUUUGAGCAAAAUCAACAAAUUAAAAUCAAACUUCUUGAAUGUAAAAACAUUUAACAAAUAUUCACUCACGUUAACUGUCAUUAAAAUAAUUAUCAAAAGAUAUGUUUGAAAGUCCCAAAUACCGAUUUGAAGUUUGAUUAUUUACAUUUACCUCCAUGAAUUCGGUCAAACAACUAAAUGCACCUUAUAUUUUGAUCCAAUCAAUAUCCAACUCUUUGGUUAGCCAAACUAUUAUCAGAUAGACAUUCUCUAUGGUCAAUUUUAAGUAAUGUCAACGAAAGUUUUAUUGGAAUUUCAAAAGUAAGAACAAAAACUCAACUUUAAAUUAUUAACCUAAACAAAAACAAUUUUGGACCAAAUUGCCAAGUUUAUUGAGCUAAAUUUUCUCUUUCCUAUACUUAAUUCUAUAUGCAAAAUUAAUGAAUGAUUUCUGUAUGAAUUAGUGGGUUGGGAGAGUAUGAUAGCAAAUCAUAUGCAUCUAAAGCGAGGAAAAAGAAAUGUAAGGAAGUACUUUUUAUAAUUAAUUUUCCAUUUGUUUAAUGUUUGAUGCUUUUAUGACUAGCAAUUGGUUGAUUUAUUUUAAUUUUAGUUUCGUUUUUUCUUUUUGGAUGUAUGUCAAGGACUUUCUUUGCAUAAUUUGCUAUUCAAAAGCUUUAGGCUACAUGUUUCUCAAACUAUAGGAGUCCAUUUUAUGAUUUGGACAAAUUUUAAAGGAGAUAAAUUUAUUAUUAGAAAAAAGAGGCAUUCUCAUUAUUUCCUUUGGUUGGGUUUGUGGUCGGUCGCUUGUAGGGGGUGAAUGUAAUUCGGUUAAACUAUAGAGUUUAUCUGGUAAACUCAGGGGAGAAAAAGGUAACAAACCCAACAAAAAAUAAAAAGAAACUCAUAAACUUUUAACUAAAUUUGUUGUUGUCACAUAAAGUAGCACAUAAAGUAGCAAAUCUUUAUGGCAAUUCAAACGAGUGUUCAUAUAGCAACAAACAUUACCGACCCUGGAAAUCGCAUUCGAUCCUGAGCCCCCUUAAAAUUGCCUCUUAUCGGGUCUCACUCUAAAAUUUUGAUACCUAUAACAAGUUUGACAUCUACAAACAAAUUUUUUUUUCAUAAUAGGAGUAGUGAUUUUUUAGAAUUCCAAGCAAAUCACCAAUUAUUUGAGAGUGAUUUUCUGGAAUUCCAAGUCAAUCACAGAUAUUCAAAUUAAAGAAAAAAGGGUGUAAAGAGUGACGGAAAAUAUCGAAUGCUGAGAGGGUUGAGAAUAAUUUUGAUUAUGAAUUUAGGGUUUAUAGAUUUUUGUUUGAUGUGAUUUCUCGUUAGUUGGAUCAUUGAUACACUGACUGGGUUUUGUAAUAUUCAAGAAGUGGGAAUAGCCAAAUAGAUUUUGAGAUAGGAUUAGAUUGAUGAAAUCACAUGAGUUGUUAUGGGAUAGGAUUGGAUUAAUUAAAUCCCGUGAAUUGUUACAAGUGUCAAAUUUUUAGGAUGAGACCGGAACUCCGCAAGGGGCUGAGGAUUGGAUGCGUCUAGAAAUGUGUAAAACAAAUAUUAAAAUUGGUUAGUAAAAGCAAAAUAUCUUCUGGCCUUUGGGCAGUAAUUUGCUGCCACUAUUGAAACGACAAAGUGUAGCCAUCCAGCAAAACUGUGCUAGGAUACAAGCUUUCAGUUUAUCAUAACUGAUCAUAAUACUACAAAUGCAGAGUAGAUUGUUUCAGCAUACAUGUCCAUCAAAUGGAUAAGCCUAUCAGCCAUUCAAAGUUCCAUGCAUGGUUGCAUGAUUUGUAGUGCUGACUGCCAAUCUUGCCCUUGUACCAAGCAUUUUAAAAUAUCACCAAUAAUGCAGGAUUUCUCCGACAUAUCAUUGCGGCUUCAAUCAUCAUUUUUCCAGAUUGUUUAUCUAUACUCUCGUGCAUGCAUGUAAUUCUUCGGGGGCUACUUUCAUUAGAUCAAAGUUUGAAAGUAUCACAAAAUUUUGCAGUGUAUUAAUACUCUAAUUUCUUCGUUUUGCCUUUUUCCUACCUUUCCACCCCUCCUUAUGCCCUCUCAUUCCAAACUGCUAGAAAUAUAGGAUUCGAGCCUUGAUAGUGGAGAAGACUUUAAAAGUCCUCCCCUGAAGACUUUAAAAGAGUUGCCUCACUGAUUUACUCUUAUUUCUCAUUGUAGAACACCAUGAUUUGAAUUAUUUUGUCCCCAUCUUCUGUCCAUUCUUUAUACUCAUUUAACAUACCAAUCAAAAUGGCUCGUGAGACACUAGAAGACGUUGUUGAUUCUAGUCCUCAUCAGUCAUCCCAUACCCCAAGUUGGACCUCCCUGCAAUUCCCGAAGGAAAAACACGACAAAAGAGACUGAAAAAGAUUGGAUGACUAGUUUCUGCGCCGUAUUAAUACAACUUUGCUAAGAUAGAACAGAGGUCGUAAAAAAUUUAGAGCACGAAAAUCUAAAUAAACCAGGUCUUAAUUCGACAAAAGGCGAAAUCUCAAGUUGGAAGUCACAAGGCACCCAAAAAAAUAACUAAAUUUGUGCAAGAUGCGUGAACCACUCGAAUCUUGAAUUUUUUUCUUUUUUUUUUUUUUUGUAAUUUUAUAAAGCAGGGAAUGGAUGCAAUUUAAUAUAGCAGCUUUUCCAAGCAAGCCUCUGGAAUCUCCUGUAAACCCCCAUGAUUUGGUCAAGGGAGGAUAUUAGGGGAAGCAGUGAAGCCCAACAGUUAGCAUCCUCCCCUUUCUCCUAAAAGGUUGAAGCUGAAGUGGAACACGCCAUUAAGUAAUUUUAUAAAGCAGGGAAUGGAUGCAAUUUAAUAUAGCAGCUUUUCCAAGCAAGCCUCUGGAAUCUCCUGUAAACCCCCAUGAUUUGGUCAAGGGAGGAUAUUAGGGGAAGCAGUGAAGCCCAACAGUUAGCAUCCUCCCCUUUCUCCUAAAAGGUUGAAGCUGAAGUGGAACACGCCAUUAAGAAAAAAAAAAAAAACAAAAGGAGUUCUGCAUCUCUCCGGCGCUGAGGGAACAAAUGGGCGUGGGGAUGAUUCUUCUUCCAUUCCAAGCUUAUCAACGUCGUAACAAGGUAGCUCUAGGGACAAACUAUGGCUAGAUUGAAUCCUUUUUAUUUAUUAUAUUAUGAUAUUUAGAUAUAUAGCUAUGCUUAGGGGUAUGGAACUUAGCAAGCUUUCUCGAUCAACUGCUCCUGGGGAAUCCCAAAAGAUUUCAGGCAACUCUGACUCAGAAGCACAAAAACUCUGCUUUGCUGGAAACCCAAUUCUCAAAAAUCUCGGAAGAAAGAAAGAGAAAUUUAGCUUAAAAAAAAUCCAAAACCUCUAAUUCUUGAAAACUUAACUUUAGCCACGACUCUUGAAUAUUUGGCCCAGGGUACUCUUUUGGUUUCUUCUGCGAAAUAUCUACUCUAAGUUCGGGUAAUGAUUAACAACAUCUAGGCCAGUUUGUUUCUUAACGGGGACAAAGUUGAUUAAUUCGUUAAAUCCAAUAUGCAAUUGCACCAUCUGAAAUUAUUACUAGAUAAACACAGUUGGCAAAGCAUUCAAUUUUAUUUUUUUUUUGGUAACCCGGAACAUGUCCCGACCAGAAUCCUUAGGAUCCGAGCCGGCACACCAAACCGGAGGGAAGCCGACAGCCCCAUACAGCUUCCCGGACGAGUCAGGAUGUGCGACGCAGCGGGCACGAAUCGAAUCCUGGUCAGUGGAAAAACCAGCAACACAAGACCGACCCCUCAACCGCUGCGCCAUAUGCCCUGGGGGCCAUUCAAUUUCAGUUGCAUAACAACAAAAAGGAUUGUCGGGGAUAGACAUCAGAAAUUUGGAACAAGAAUAUCUAAAUGCGAUUCUUGCUAUGACAAAAGAGUGAAGCCUCAAAUUGAAAGUCAUAUAAAAAUGUACUAUAUUUUGAGAACAUGGAUAGAACCUGGAUGAAAAUUACAAUAUGCAAUGUAAAAUAUUUAUCUUUAUUUUCACAAAAUAUACUACUUUAAUGUGCAUAGUGUAGUCAAUGUCUAUGUAUAAUACACUACACCUACAUACAUAAAGUACAAUUCUUUUUCUAUAUUUUGUAUGUAUCCAAAUAUUUUCUUGUAUUGAAAAAUGAAAAAAUAUUUAAAUAUAAUAUGCAAACCAUGUUAUUUUAAUAUAGCUAUUCAGAAAAAGUACACCUUAAAGAUGAUCCUUUGAAACAAUUGAGGGGAAACUAUCAUAUACAUGAUCAUCAUUCAUUUUUUAUAAAGUACAUGAUUUAAUACUUUACCUACAUACACGAUUUAAUAUAUAAGAUUUUGAUCUAAUAGUGCAUUAAAUUUGUUGUAGUGAAUCAUUUUUGUUUUUCUUUUCUACUACUUUCUUUUCCUUUUUAUUUCUUUUCCUUUUCACUUCUUCCAUGUCACUAUUUUCUUCACUUACCCAUAAGUAUUGCUAAUUGUGUGCUUAUUUAAAUAUUGUAGUUUUCUUUUAAUUAUAAUUUCAUUCUUACUUUGAUUUAUUAACUUAUUUAUUUAUAGUAUUAAGAAAUUCAUGAUAAACUAUAUAGCGUGACAAAAUAUCAAUUACAUGUCAUAAUCAAAGGAGUAUAUAAUUUAACUAUUUAACAGAUAUUAGCAAACUAGAAUCUUUAUUAUAUAUUUCAAAGUAUAUGCCAAAUAAAUAAAGUAACUAGUAGUCGUAUGAAUUUUAUGCAUAGACAAUUAAACGUUAUGUGAUUAUGAUCUAUUUAUUUGUUAUUUUUUAUUAUCAAUUAAUUAAUGUAAAUGCCAUAUGGAAUAGUCUAUGUGGAUAGCUAAUAUAGACUUUGUUAUAGUGUAGAAUUUGUUAUCAUUAUUACUUUUUAAAAAAAAAUUUAGCAAAAGAAAGGUGAGAUUUAAGAAGAGGGAGAGGGAAGGGGAGAUUUGUGAUUAUUAUUACUUCUAACAGGAAAAAGUAAAUAGCACUAUAAAUAAAGAAUAUAUUUAUGAAAAUUAAAAAUAAUACAUAGAUAAUAAUAAUAAUAAAGAAAAAAAGAAAGUAGUUGGUCACAUGAAAGAAGGGAGAAAAAUUGAAAGCCAAAAAUAAAAGGGACAAAAGUAGAAAAGAAAUAUAAAUAUAAUUACUGCAAAGAACAGACACUUUUGCUUUUUUUUGUUUAAAUUUCUAGCAAGGAAGAUUCACUUUUAUCCUAAAACAUCAUGUAGGAGGGCAAAGUAUCUAUUUAAUGAGUUCAAGUAGGUAACAUGCAACUCGAGGCAAAGUUCAAAAGGAUUUUACUGCAUUUAACCCUAAAAGAAGUCACUAAAUAAUAUAAUAUACUAAUAUUAGAAUUGAGACUCUUACUGAGGGUUUUUUUUUUUGUGCACCACCACCACACCGCACUCCACCAAAGGCCACAAGAGAAUGAAAGCUCAAGUUUCGGAAUUUUUCCCUUUUGUAUAAUUUGCGUUCUGCCUCGUCUUGUCUCACUUAUUUUGAGCUUUAGAAAUAUCUCUUGAUCUUUGUAUUCUUCCUUAUAAUAGCAAAAUUUGCUCUCUUCCACUCAUGAACAUCCGUCUAUUUGACCGAAUUACAUAAAUCUUAGUGUCUUUAUCUUUUAUUAUUUUUCCUUUACAUUUUUAUUAUAGUUUUCAUUAUUAAUUUUGUGAGUAACCAAAUAACUUUUGUCCAAUUACUUUGGCCAAAUCCUAACACAUUUUAACUGAUCACAACACCAUUUGGUUCGUGUCCUAAUGGAAAUUGACCAUAAUGAGCAAGCCUAUAUUCUCCGGGAAAAUUCUGAUAGAAAAUCAUGAGCUCUCAAAAUUUAGUAGAUGUUGAAUGAAAAUGAAAACUUAAUUCGCUUUAAUUUGUUAUAGGCCUUGGCGGGCCUUUCGGUGCAUCCUUGGUUUCAGAUCAUUUUGGGUUCAAAAUUUUCCUCAGUUUCAUUUGGGCCCAACAUAAUCGAGUCCAAACACACUUUGGGCACUUGGUUUUCUCCUCAGAUUUUGCUUUAUGUCUCAUAUUUGUCCACUUCAGCCUUCGGUGGGAAGCUAAAAGCUCUUCUCAAUGUGAAUAAAUACGAGUUCCAAAAUAACAGAUAUUUUCCCAAUCUGAAAAGCUUUAAUAGCCUGAGAAAUAGAUAAAUUGAUUAACUUUCAAGGAACAGAAUGGAUUAAAUGACAUAUGCAUUACUGAAAAUUAGAAUUUCAAUAUGGGAGAAAGGACGUCCAACAACAUCAGGAGCAAUUCUUUUAGGCACAACAAUGCCAAAUUAUCUGCAAAGAAGAGUAUGAAAUUCUUGAUGAUUUUUGCAUACUCUUCCAAGCGCAUCAAGCUCCCCAAGCUAGUUGCUCAUGUAGUUGUUGCUAUAACUGAAUCAAAAUGUUACCAAUAGAUUUAUGAUCAUUCUUGAAAAUACAAAUCCGUGCUACAGUAGAGAGGGUCACAAAGAAAAAUUUGUCCUUGUCACUGAAAACGAUUUUAGUUUUGUUAUUAAUGAUUACAAACAAAUACAACAUCUAGGUAAAGUCAAUGGAUAGCGUUCAGGUUGAAUCUAAUUGAUCCAAAUCCAAGCUCACUGCAUUUGUCAAUUACCGAGACGCUCAUGGUUAGAAAAUUCAAACUCGAAACCUUAUGGAUCUAGCUAGUGAUUGGGUAUGAACAUGUAUUUCUUGAUGUGCAAUUAGAAAUAAGGACAAAAUACUCAUAAUCCCCCUGUACUUCUUAAUGAUACCACAUGAUCUCCCCAAGGUUAUAAAAUGUUCACUUAAUCCCUUGUGAUUUUUAUGUAAAUUGAAAAUUUGAUGAAAAAUAGUUUCUGUAACAUCAUUAGUUGAAAUGCUAGUGUCGGACUUACUUGAAUACUAAAUUAAAUAAGGGCCUAACCAUUUUGCUUACCGUCAUAAUGGGAUUAUGUGGAUAGAUGCAAAACUACAAGGUGAUUAAGUGGAUAUUUAUCCAAAACUAUAGAGGGUUAAAUAGAUAUUUUAAAAUUUCACCACAUGUACUUUUUGGAAAGUGUCUCGGUCAAUUGCUAUAACCAGAAAUUUUUCAUCUAUUUUUCACUUUAUAUAAAACCAAAGGAGGAUGAUAUAUGGACAUUUUGAAACAUUAAAGGGCGUCAUGUGAUAUCAUGCAAAAGUACAAGGAGUUACAAAUCAUUUACCCUGAAAACAAAUUCAAAAAAUAAUAAAAACAUAUUAAAUUCAAAGAUAACAAACCUAUAAUCCAAAUGCCAUUUUCAAAUAACAAAAUCAACAUUUUAUACUAUAUAUAUCUAUGUAUGUGUGUGUACACACACACACAUAGACCAUACAAAAUCCAAACUUGUAAUUCUUUCACAAUGUCUCAAUUCAGAUAGGGUGUGGGUUUGAAAAAUUGGAAAUCAACCUAGGAAAAUAAUGAGGGAUCUAGAUAACACUCAUCCCAUUGACGUGGGAGUUAAGAUCUUCUCCAUUAGAUUUCUUUAAAUAUAUUUAAAUUACUAUGACUUUAUAAAAUUAUCUGAUUAUGUCAUUACUUUUAUUUUAAUCUCUAGAUCAACAUACUAAAAAAUAAUAUUGCUUUGAGAAUAUUUUGGCAUUUAAUUUAUACUAAACAUUUGAAGAGUGAAAAAUGAGUCACAAUAAUAAACAGAUUUAUAGUGAUUAAUCAAACGAUAAAAUUUAGUCAAUUUCAUAUGAAAUUUUAUAUAUAACUUACACAAGUGAGGAAAUGGUGUCCAACAGCUUUUUCAAUUCCAAGAUCAUUUUGUCCACAUCUCUCACUGUUUUCGUCAAGCUAACCUAGUUGUAGAUAUCCUUUCUAAUGUUGGGUGUGUAGAUGUUUUGGACAAGUUUUAUCAUCAAGUUUCUGAACUACCUUCUUUAGCUCGAGGUGCGUUGAGGAAAUAAAAUGUUGAUGAUAAAACUUGAUGAUAAAACUCGAUCAAUAUUGAGCUCGAGUUCGAAUUGACCAAGUUGAGCUCGACCUAUCCAAGUCGAGCUCAAAGGUCGAGCUAACCGAGCUCGAGACUCGAGUUCAAAGGUAUUUAGUUCGUUAACUCGUGAGCCGACUCAAUUAUAUAUAUAUAUAACUUUUUAUUUUAGUAAUAAAAUUACACAUAUAUUCCUAAUAUUUUAUUAUUUGUUAAAAAUUUAUUAUUUUAUUUAUAUUUUAAAAAUAAAAUAAUUAUUUUUUUUAAGCUCGAACUCGAGUUUUACAUUUUGAUCUCAUUGAGUUCGAAAUUCAUAAAACUAAGUUGGGACUUUACUCAAUUAGGCCAAAGUUUGAUUUGGUUUGACUCGUUUGCACCCUAAUUGAAGCUAAAUGCAUUAGGCUUACCAUCAAUUAGGAAAUUAAUUGUUCAUUAGUUUGUAAAGAAAGUAGUACUUCUUGUUUUUUGGUUUUUUUUUUUUCCACUGCUUGUUUGGAGGUAAGGUUUAUGUCCAUCUCCUUUUUUAAAUUUAUUAAUAAAAUUUAGGGGUGGCGUCUCUCCCCCAUAUACGGGGUCUGCCAUUUAAAAAGAAAAAGAAAAUAUAUUUUGGACGGUAUUAUUUUUUAAAAUAAUUUUAUUAGGGUGUGAUGGAGAGAUUCUCUCCAUUGCAAUGGAGAGGAGCUCAGCCUACCUAAACUUACCCUCUUCAAAAUACUGAUAAACUUCGAUCCAUUUACUUGUUCCUCAAUUGAGAAAUGCCACGAAAGUGACGCAACCAGAAUUUAAGAAAGCAUCGCAGAUCUCAAACCUGUCGGCUUAGAUAAUAUCAAGAUGCAUUUCUUGGAUGCACUCAAGAUGAUUUUGCUGCAAAGCCAGGAAUUCCUAGGACCAGUUUCUAUGGAAUGAACGGCUUUGCUACGAACAGUAUAUACGUUUUUCAGCUAGUAAGUAACUUAUUGCCUGUUACUUUUAAUAACACACCUAAACUAAAACCAUGCCUAAUUCGGUAAUUCCUCACUUAGCCAUAUGUACUUUUAAUAAAUUAUUGCCUGUUACUUUUAGACAUAUGUACCUUAGCAUUUUUUGUAAUUUAGCUAAUGUUUUCUUAAUAAUAAACUUAUAAAAAUUACAAAAGUACUUUUUAUAAAUUUAACGGUGACAAGUAUGUCAAAUGGACGUAAAAGUCCAUUCAUGCCUACUGCAGACUUAACAAAUUUGCAAAAAUGAUUAAAAAGAAACUAAACUGGAGGGUGCAAUUUCAUCCAAUAAUUAGAGUUUAAGGGUACAAAAUAGAAAUACAUAACAAAUUAGGGUUCAAAAUGAUGUUUAACAUCCUGACUAACCGUGAUCGAUAGGUUUGCAAUCACAUAUAAUUUCGUGAAUUUCCUGAAUAAAAAACCAAAGUUGGAUGGCUACUUAGGGUACAAUGUAUUCUAAUUGAUUGUGUAAAGUGCAAAUCCAUCAUGAAUUAUAGGGUACAAAGUGGAUUUAGUCAUUUAUAAAAUACCAAUGUUACUUUUAAUGUUGUACUAACUAACAUAGUCCUUAGUCAAUUCCCAAGUUUUAGGUUUAUUUUCAAUUGUUCCUAUAUGUUUCAAGGACUUUUCAAUUGUUCUUCUUUCCAAGUCUCUUACACAUAUAUUUUUUUUCAACAAGAAGUCCUCGUCGAAAUUGAUGUCAAGAUAAAGGUGUCCAUCUUAAAUUUUUCAUAUCUUCUUAGAUACUUCGUGCCAAGCAUUUCAAUUGGUUUCAUAUCUUCUUUCCUAUGUCAAGGAAGAUAUAUAUUGGUAAAAAAAAAAAAAAAAAAGACACAAGCACAAACAAUAUGUGGUCACUGGAUAAAACACAAAGGAAAAAAUAAUGUCUGUUAACAUAGAAAAUUAUUUAAAUCUUGUAUGUUUCUACUUGGACACGGAGAUCAAGGUCAACUAGACUUCCACAAAGUUAUAUAUUUCGUGGAGGUAAGCGAUGUUGUCAAAGCAAAUUAAAGCCUAGAUUACAGAUUUUGUCCUUUAAGACACUCUCAGAUGGAGGCAAUUGAAUAGAGAAGUUUGUGCCCCGCGUGAAUGGUCCAGCGGCAGUGCCUCUCACCAGUGAACAUUGAGGUCACAAGUUCGAGUCUCCGCUCCGCUGGAUUCCUCCGCGCACUUAAUGUGUUCAGGCCGGGUUGGGGCGCCGAGCCCGGGCUGCAGGGGAUUAGUCGGGCCAAGUAAGGAUUGACCCGGACACCCCUGUGUCAAAAAAAUAAAAAGAAUAGAGAAGUUUGCAUGUGUACUAUUCAAACCAAACUAUUAAUGUGCUAGUGUUUGUCUAUGCAUGUCUUGACUCUUGAUUGUCAAACUAGAAGAGAUAGCAUUCAUUAUCAAGGCUACUCACCAUAUCCCCUCUCACAGAGAAUAUUACUUCACAAUACAAGGACUCAGUCUCUUGCUAAGUAUCACUGAAUAGGAAUCAGGGCAUAGCAAUGAUAUGUUCACUUAGGCACUGCUUGUUUUGAGGGAAUAGGAGGGAAAGGAAAAGAAAUGGAGGGACUCUUCCCCUUGGACAAGCGGUCAAACAUGCUCUUUCUUGCAGUGAAGUCUUUUCCUUGUAGUGGUCUCUUCCCCUUGAACAAGCGGUCAAAAAUACUCUUCUUCUGUCGUCCUUCCUUCGCCUCUCCAUUGGUUUUAGUAUCACAAACAAUGAAAGUUAUAUUGAACUUCCUGUCUCGGCGACGUUAUAUUCUUGUCUCGAUAACUGCAUGUUAUUGCUGUAUCACUUCUCUUGUUAAGUUCACAAACUUAGUAAGAGUUGGAACAUAGAAUUUUAACAUUUAAUAAUUGAAUAAAUUCGCCGGUAAACUACUUCAGUAAUUAUUCUUUCUUUUAUUUUUACAUUCUGCAUUACAGUAUACUCCUGAAUGAGAGAACUACUCCUAUAAAAAGGAGCAUUUUGUACUGCAAAACCAAAAAAUCAAAACAACAAACAAAGAAGCCAGCAACCGCUGCAAAAGAUGGUUGCCAUUUCCUCCCCACAUUUUGUAAUAUUCCCCUUCAUGGCUCAAGGCCACACUAUCCCCCUCCUCUACCUUGCUCGCCUUCUCUGGCAGCGCAAUGUCGCUGUCACGGUGUUCACCACCCCAGCUAACUCUCCAUCAAUCCGUGCUACUCUCCAUGACACUGCCAUCUCAAUUAUUGAACUACCUUUCCCAGCACAUGUUGAUGGCAUCCCUCCAGGGGUUGAAAAUACUGAUAAACUUCCAUCCAUGUUACUAUUUGUUCAAUUUGCAAAUGCCACGAAACUCAUGCAGCCACAUUUUGAGAAGGCACUUGAAGAUCUCAAACCCGUUGGCUGCAUAAUAUCUGAUGGAUUUCUAGGAUGGACUCAAGAUUCUGGCGCAAAGCUAGGAUUUCCAAGAAUUGGUUUCUAUGGAAUGAGCAGCUUUGCUACUACCAUGUAUGCGAUUAUUGGCCAAGAAAGGCCACAUGCACUUACUAUGUCACCUGAUGAGCCCUUUUCCAUCCCAAAUUUCCCUAAACUAACCUUGACAAGAAAUGAUUUCAAUCCACCAUUCAAUGAAAUUGAACCAAAAGGUCCGAUGGUUGAGUUCAUUACAGAGCAAAGUAUUGCAAUGGCAAAAAGUUACGGCAUGAUUCUCAACAGCUUCUACAAGCUUGAAGCAGCCUAUACUGACUUCUGGAACAAAUGCCUUGGACCCAAAGCCUGGUGUGUUGGUCCUCUAGCGGAAGCCAAGCCGCCAGUAUUAUUAGCUGAAGAAUCUGCAAAGCCAAAGUGGAGGCACUGGCUUGACAAAAAAUUGCACAAUGGAAAGUCAGUUUUGUACGUGGCAUUUGGAACUCAGGCUGAAGUAUCCCAAGAGCAACUGCUUGAAAUUGCAAAUGGUCUAGAACAAUCUAAGGUGAAUUUCUUGUGGGUCAUAAAAUCAAAACGGCUGGAGAUCUUGCAAGGGUUUGAAGAAAGGGUGAAGGAUAGAGGGAUCAUAGUGAAAGAAUGGGUAGAUCAGAUGGAGACACUUAGGCACGAGAGUGUAAAAGGGUUCUUGAGCCAUUGUGGAUGGAACUCAGUUACUGAAAGCAUGUCAGCUGGCGUGCCCAUCUUGGCGAUGCCAUUCAUGGCUGAGCAACAUCUGAAUGCAAGACUUGUAUCGGAGGAGGUUGGUGUAGGCCUGAGAAUUAUGCCAUGCAAUGGAUCAGUGAGGGGCUUUGUCAAGUCAUCGGAAGUGGAGAAGAGAGUGAAAGAACUGAUGCAAGGAACAAAAGGGGAGGCCGCAAGGAAAAAGAUGGAAGAGGUUGGAGAAGCUGCUUGUGAUGCAAUGAGAGAAGGUGGUUCCUCAUGGGAAACUCUAGAUCAACUCAUCCAUGAUAUAAGUAACUACACAAGAUUAACUCCUCUUAAUCAUGGAUUGGUAAGUGAACUUGGGACAGUUUCAGUUAGUUAAUAAUUUGUUUAUGUGUGAUGAAUUGGUAUACGGUAUAGUUGUACGUACAGCAAUACCAUAUGGGGCUACUACAGUUUUAUGUAAAUCAACUUUCGUAACAGGACAACAACAUUAUGUUAGUGUAUACCAAAUCUCAUGAAAAAUACACAUCACCUAUAUGCAUCCACAGCAACCCCGAAGUCUUAACCGCAGUGUCCCUGGUUUGUAAUAAGUUGUCAAGCAACCGAAAUUGUUCUCCUAUCGUUUGGAAUCAACUUUGUUUUUCUUUUAUGUAUAUUGUAUUUAUUUGGGAUCCAAAGGUUAGACCUAGGUUGAUUUUAAAGUUGUGAAAUCUGAUUAAUAAUUUGGAAGGGCUAUGCAAUAGCGACCUCAGAACCUUGCAUCCAAAUCAACCUUGAGAUCCUUGGCUUGAUUAUUCGACUUGUACAGUAAAUAAAAUCAUCCAAAGUGUCAAGAAGCAAACUUUCAUAAAAAAGCCCGUGCAAAAUCCUAGAAGACAUAUCUAGUCUACAGAUGUCUGAAGCCAACAUAUGCGUGUCUUCUAGAGAGUUAUUUUACAAGCACAACAUCAAAGAAGAAAAUUUAUUAUGCUAAUGCUACAACUGAAGACAAAGGGUUUAAAAUACAUUCAUGCAAUAGGGUGUACAGAAAUUAUCUAAAGGUCUAUGCGUUCACUACUUCUAUUGAUCUUAUAAAACUACUUACCAAUCGUAUCCAUCUAGUGUUUGCCCGUGUACACUCAACUCGCAGGACAAACUAAGAGUCUACUGCUGUUCUUCUUGCAUAUUUGUCAACAUCCAAGAAGAGAUUUCCAACCAAAUAGGAGAGACAACAGAUACAAAGUCCAAAAGCCUUUUGUGUUUCGCUCAUACUUCAUAACGAGGCCUUUUCUUAAAGAUCUAAAGAAGCUCUAAACCUUCUUAUAAGGCUUAAAAGGAAAGGGAUCAAGGGAACGGGGAAAAGCUUAAGAGUAGAAUCAUGGAUAGACCACGACGUGAUCCUAAUCAUUUCAAACGCCCACCAGAAUGUGUUUGGAUUGCAAAUUUAUUUCAAAUAAUAUUUCGCUUGCAUCAUAAACACAUUUUUCAAUCCACCUUCUUAUAUUCCCCACUACUUUUUAUCUCUCAUACAUCAAAUCACAAAAAAUGCUACAGUAAUUAUUCCAAAUAAUAUUUCAAAUAAUACUCUAUCCAAACAUAUUUCAAGCAAUCUGAAAUACUUCAUUAUCGCAACGCGCAAAAUUUUAAUGUGGCGAAGGUUGGGUCUUUCAUACUUGAAAAUGCUACUGCUUUAGAAAUAGUUGUUUGAUUUUUUCUUUUUUUUGACAAAUUUGUCUCAUUAACCCCGCAACGGGACAAUUUUGAUAUGCUCCCUGAUAAGCUUGCACAUCACAAUGGAUGGCGUGUUAAAAAAGAUGAUCAGAUUCAUAAAGAUACAUCAAACGUUUGAAGGGAUUUAGAGUACUCUCUUGUCUUCUUCACUGCUAAGUCAUGCAAAUGAGAGCUGUUUGCAGUCAAACUAGCUCGAAUAGGGUCCAGAAAUGGAACUUAGGACUUCAUGCACUUCGUAGCCACAUGACAAUAUGUAUUCAAAUUCUGAAGUUGGUAACAAAAUUCAAUUAGCAGAACAUUUUUGUUUCAAAACAGAUAAGAAAACUGAAAGGCCAACAGUUGAUGGUUCACUCUGUCUAACUAAAACUAUUUUUGCAAACCUUCAAAACUUUGAAAGAUACAAAAUGGAAUAAAGUGACGAGACAAAUCAGUCUUUCAAUUUCCCUAGAACCAUAUAAGCAGGAGGAAACAUGACUUGACUUUGUUUCACUUUCAAAUAAGAUCCUUCGCAUCCAAACAAUAGCUAAAGAAAAUUGAAGAGCCACCUUAAAUGUCAUAUCUCAAAACGAAAGGGAGGAAAAAUAUUUUCAUCCUUCACAAAAUGACAUGCAUCCAUGAUGAGACCACACCUAGUUAAAACUAGUCUACAAAUAAUAUUUGAGAAAGUACAUCACAUGAUUCUCGAAUAAAUUCGUCUAGAGAUGGCUAAUCUAAGCAGUUUUACGUACAUACAUAUUUAUCAUAUAAAGGCUGCAUUAAAAUGCUCUAGUAAUAUAUCAUAAACCCAGGAACCUAGAAGUCCAAAUGUUUAAGAUCUCUCCAGUCCAAGAAGAAAGCUUUUAACCAUAUUCCAGGGACAUUACCUUCCAAAACCCCAAAGAAAAUGGCCUUGUCAUUGCAGUGAUUGGUGUAAAAGCAACUACAGUGUCCAGAAAAUUGAACAUUAGCUUGUUUUGCCGGCUUAAAACGCCAAGAGAUGCAUUCAUACUCCUGAAAAUAAAAUAAAAACGUGCCCAUUGGCUGUUUAUGAGAAAACUACAAACCAAACAACCAAGCUGAAAGUUGAACAUCAAACUGUCUUUUCUGCAGUCAGUUCUACGGAGCUCGCACACUCCCACAAUUAACAAGGUACCCAUUUCUGUAGAAGAGAAAACCAUAGAGGUAGAGCUCUUGCCAUUCUUUGGUUUAUGUUGUAUUAUUCGUCAGCAUAUAGAUAAUCAUCCAACAAAGGAGGUGCUUCCCGAAAGCAUUCUACAAAGUGUCCAUCUUUUAUCUUUUCCUUUUUUUUAUCUUUUUUUGGGUGGUUCUGACCAAAGUAUUGCCAUAUGCGUCAGAAAAACCUUAGUUGCAAGUUUUCCUUUAAGAGAAAAAAUAAUUAAAACUCCAGAUCAUGAACUUGGCGCAUUAAGAUUCAUCAAAUCUCCAUUACUCUUUAAGCAAGGGUACAAGGCACAGUGUCAGAAAUAGUAACAAUCAUCUCUACACUUAGCUUAGUUCUUCUCAUUGUUGCUCUCCAGCUCCCUCCUAAGCUGCAGCGAGAAGUCAUCAUUUACAUCAUCAUCAUCCCAAUCAUCUUCCCACUGCUGGGUUACUUCUUUGCCUUCCUCUUUGUCCUCCCACUCUGCCAUUUCACAAUAAAGUGAAGAAACGAUUAAAAUACAAGUGCAGACAACGUCUAAUGAACCUAUGCAAGAUCAGAAUCUUCGUUAUCAUCACCAAAACACACAUAUUUAAUAGUAACAAAGAAUUCCAAAUAAUACUGCUAAAUCACUAACCAGCAAAACUGCAAGAAAGUGGAAAUUACAUGUGAAACUUUAGUAGCAUGAGGAAUUGAAUGAGAAUCUCAAUUGAGUGAAACUUAUCAUACGUGUCAAGAUUUACCUCAUUGCGUGCAUUUUACAUCAAAACAUCAAAAAUAAAAGCAAGCAGCUACAGAAUAACAAGAGAGCCAAACAGAACAAAUAAGAAGUUCAAACAGCCGUUAAAACAACCUAAAGUAACAAUGGUUACUCUACAUACCCUAAGAGCAAAAUACAUUUCAGAACUUUCUUGGCCAAACAAAUAUAGCCCUAAAGAUAAACAACAAUUAAGCUCCAACGUGGGGGCAGUUUGAUAAGGGUCCACCUGUCUCAGACUCAAUAAUUAUGCACUUGACAGAAAGAACCCCCCCCCCCCAACAAAAAAAAAGCCCCUUCUUAUCCAGAAUAUCCAGGUAACCAGAGAAACAAUUGGCAUCUUUCCUCCUCUGGAUCCACUUCCUUUCUUUUCCCCCUUUGGUGCUCACAAAGAAACACACACUCCAACUCAACACACUGAACUAAACCCACACUGGUUGACCUGUUGAUAUAAAGAAAGAGGGAGGGGUGUCAAAUGGUCAGGGAGGCUUCGAAGUAAUGGAAGCCUAGCCAUUGUAAAAGGCAAGGGCAGAAAGUCCUGCAACAGUGGUUCAUAGAGGAAGGAAAAGGUAGGAAAAGAGGGGCUGGCAGAUAGAGGGAUCGAUUUAUAACCAAGGAUUCCAGAGGCACUGUAACAAUGGAUAAUUUAGGGCAUCCUAUGAUAUGGCCACAUUAAGUAAAUUUAUGAAGGUUUUCAAUUCAAUUGUUGGCGAGGCCUCAACUUCCAGAGUUCUUUAGCCAUCCUCUAGGUCCUUUGCAAUUAUCAUUCUAAAAAUUUACAAAAAAAGACUACAGAUAUGAGAAAGAAGAAAAAUAGAUGGGUAUAGAAGACCGAAUUGAACUGAAGGGGGAAAAGCUAUGCUAUGAAACCUUGGCAGAGAAUGCAUUGAAUUCAAUUACACCUCAUCAAUUGGACCUUCGUUUUUGUGGUAAACACAUCUUCCCUCUACAAGCCCUUGCUUUUCCCCUUUCAGUGCUUUAAAUUAUUUUUAAAAAUAAAGGACACACACACACAACAUAACCACAGACCCUCCCGCUCACAAGCAGCAUCAUGAACAUCAAUAACAAAGUUCAAUAUGCCCACAAAACAAACACACUCAAACACAACAAGAAAAUACAUACAUGCAGACCCACACAAUACCUGUUUCGAAUGGUCAGGGAGGCAAGGGAAGUGAUGAAAAUCUAGCCACUUUGGAAGGCAGGGGCUGAGUCCUGCACUGGUGGUUUGCAUAGUAAUGAAAAGGGGGGAAGAUGUAUCAAUUUGUAUUUAGCCGAGGGUUCCAGAAGCACCAAAACAAAGAAUAAUUUGGGGCAUCCUACGAUUCGGCCGAAUAAGUGAAUUUACGAAGGUUUUGCAUUAAAUUGUUAGAGAGGCCUCAAUUUCCAGAGUUCUUCACCCCUCUGCUGGGACCUUCACCAUUAUUAUUGCUACAAUUAAUAAAAAAGGAUUAUAUAGAUGUGGGAAAAAAAGAGAGGAUAGAUCUGCAUAAAGGACCGAAUUGGAGUAGAUCCUAGUCGGCGAUCUGGGAUUCCAGAGCUAAGCUAUACAAAGGCAAACUUGGCCAAGAAUGCAUUGAAUUAAAUUACAUCUCGUCCAUAGGAACUUCACUUGUAGUCGAACAGCAAUGUAAGUUAGAUUUAAGAAUGUAAUAAAAUAAACAAAAAAGGAAAAAGAGAGUGCUCAGUGAAUACGAACCAAUAGAAAGAGGUUCACAUUUUGAGAGUAUAUCUCACAAAAUCACUCAGAUUUCCUAUGCUAUCUUCAUUGCAACUCCCUACUCCAAAUUAUCCAGGUAAAGGGAAAAAACAUUUGACAUCUUCCCUCCGCCACAUCCCGUUCCUUUCGUUUACCCCUUCAAUGCUCACACAGGAACACGUUAAAACAGACAUGCCUACAGACCUCCCUCUCACAAGAAGAACCAAAAACACUAAUAACAGAGUUAGAAAUGUCACAACACAACACAAACGCACCAAAACACACACAAAAUGUAUACAUGCAGAGGCUACACAUGUUCACCUGUUCAUAAAAGAAAUGGGGUAUCAAAUGUUUCGGGAGGCUUGGGAAAUUAUGAAGGUCUAACCAACUUGAAAGGCAGGUGGCUGAAUACUGCAGUGGUGGUUAGCAGAGGAAGGAAAAGGCAUAAGAAAGGGGCCUGCAGCUAGAAUCAGAGGACGAAAGGGGCUGGCACCCAGAAGGAUCAAUAGACAAGGAUUCCAGAAGUACCAAAACAAAGGAUAAUUGGUACAUCCCACAAUUCGGCCCAAUAAGCAAAAUUACAAAGGUUUUACAUUCAAUUGUUAGAGGGGCCUCAAUUACCAGAGUUUUUUACUUUUUUACCCCUCCACUGGGACCUUUGCUAUUACUAUUCCUAGAAUUGACAAAAAAAGGGAAAGAUUAUAUAGACAUGAGAAAGAAGAAAAAUAGAUCAGCAUAAAAGGCCAAAUAUGAGUGAAUCCAAGACGGCGAUCUGGGAUUCCAGAGCUAUGCUAUACGAAGGUAAAUUGGCUGAGAAUGCUUGAAAUUGAAUGACAUCUUAGCCAUAACACCUUUGCUUUUGUAGUUGGUGAUUUGCAGGUCAAAAUGCAAGAUUUGAGAAAUUGUAAUAAAAUAAACAAAAAGGGAAAAGAAGAGUCCUGAGUAAAAAUACGAACCAACAGAAAGGUCCAUGUUUUGCAAGAACAUCCAACAAAAUCACUUAAUUUCUUAUGCAAUACUUUAUCAUGACUCACUACUCCAGACAACCCAGAUAAAGGGAAAAACAUCUGGCAUCCUCCCUCCUCCGCAUUCCCUUCCUUUCUUUUCCCCUUCAGUGCUCACAAAGAAACAUGCUACAAAUAACAUAUCUACAGACCCUCCCUCACCAGAAGCACCAUGAACACUAUUACUAGACCUGGAAUAAGUCUAAAACACACACACACACACACACUGAAACAUGCGUACAUGCAGACCCAGACACGUUAAGCUGCUCAUAAAAAGAAACAGAGGAAGGGGUGUCAAAUGUUUGGGAGGCUUUGGCUAGUCAUGAAUGCCUAGCCAUUUUGAAGGCCAAGGGCUAAAAGUCCUGAAGUGGUCAUUCGCACAAGCAAAAGGGAGGAAGAAAGGGACCGGCAGGGAUCAAGAUCAACAUAUAUAUAGCUGAGGGUUCCAGAAGCACCAAAAUAGAGAAUCAUUUGGAGCAUCCUACGAUUCAGCCAAUAAGUAAAUUUGCGAAGGUUUUGAAUCAACUCGUUAGAGAGGCCUCAAUUUGCAGAGUUCUUUACCCCUCCGCUGGGACCUUCACAAUUAUUAUUCCAAGGGUUGACAAUAUACAUAUACAUAUAGAUGUAGGAAUCGAAAAGAUAGAUCUGCAUAAACGACCGAAUCAGAAUGAAUCCAAGUCGCAGAUCUGGGGUUCCAGAGCUAUGCUAUCCGAAGGCAAACUUGGCCAAGAAUGCAUUGAAUUGAAUUACAUCUCGUCCAUAGGACCUUCAGUUUUGUAGUUGGUGAAUCAUGAGUGAAAAUGUAAGAUUUUAGAAUUUGUAAUGGUAUUCAAAAAGAAAGAGGGAAAAAGAGAGUGCUCAGUGAAUACGAACCAAUAGAAAGAGGUUCACAUUUUGCAAGAACAUCUUGCUAAAUCACUUGAUUUCCUAUUCUAUCUUCAUUGCAACUCUUUCCCCAGAAUAUCCAGGUGAAGAAAAAUUCUUUGAUACAUGUAAAAUACUAAUUAACAAUAACAGUCUCACACAAGAAAAAAAAAACAUAGAAUCACCAAGAAUCAAUUUACAUCUUACAGGCAUCAAAAUCUCGAAACAAACUGCAUUCGGUAAUUAAUAUAUACAACACAAUAACCUAACCUAUCUAUGACAUCACUUUGCAGUGCCAUAUAUUCAUCUACUGUGCAGACAACACGUAUUCAUAUAGCAAAAACCAAUCAAACAGGCGGAAAUAAAAAUGUUCAAAGUAUUUACUUUGACUAAAAAAAACCGAAGAUUACGCUGAAAUCAGAACAACAAGAAACUGGACAGUGAUUAGAGGUAAAAAGUCAAGCAAGGGAGUUGACAUACCCUGAUCAAUUUCAAACUCCUCAAAUUCAUCGUCGUCUUCAAAAAGAUCAAUCUUCGCGUCCUCGGUAGCUGCCUUUGGUUGCUCAGUAGUUGCCAUUGUCAGUCACUCAAAGCAAAACUACACAUCAAAUUUUUCAUAAAUAUAAGAAAUGUACAGAUCGUGGGUAAAUAACCUAUGUUGCCAUCAAAGCCCUAGUUCAGAAAAUAAAUAAACAAAUCGAAAAAAUCAAACCAAAUAAUCAACUAAUCAGCUAACUAGUUAAUAUAUCAGUCAACACAACCAACAGACAUCGAGACUGCAAGCAAAAAUCGAGCAAAUGAAACGAACGUAUGACUUCCAUCACCGCGAAGAGGAAUUUGGAGAAAUAUAAAAUCAGAGCAUCCUUAAAAUAUGUAAAAAUAUGGAAAUACGAAGAAAAAUGAAUCGAAUAAAAGACAGAUGUAAUUACCUUACCAGCGUAUACUUGGUUCUUCGAUCCUAAAACCAAAAAAGAUCGGAUAAAGAAGAACCAGAGAUUAGCACAGCAAAUCCAAUCGAAGUAAGGUAGUCGAGAACGGGGUGUUUUGAAUGAAGCGGAAGGGGGGCUAGGGUUUUGAGAGGAGCGUACCUGAAAAAUCUGGAGGAAUCUUGUAGAUGGGGAAAGGAAUUAGGUCAUAAGCAAGUUUAUAUACUCUUUUUGCAAAAUCCAAAAAUGUUUUUUUUCUCACUCUCCUCCUCCCUAAAGGUUAUUCUAGAUUGAAUAAUUUUUUGUUGGCCCUAAAAAGGAGCAAAAGUUUUCAAUUAAGCUCCUAAAAGUGAAAAUGUUGUAAUUUGGCUCUUAUGAUACAUUAAAAUUGACCCUAACUUUAUUGACAAUACCGUUAUUGAUUGUAAAUCAACAAUCAUGCUCCCAAUGAGUUGAGAAGCUGAAUAUUUUUUAAUGAAGAAGCUGAAUAAUCACUCAUUAGGACUUUUAACAAUAUCUUGCAUGAUCAAAAAAGGAAAUAUAAGCUUGUAUAAGUUGAAAAUUUUUUAGAACAUUUUCGUUGGAGGUAAAAUUGAAACAUUUCUAGUUUUUGGGGCUUUAUUAAUAUUUUAUUAAUUACUUUGCCUGAUAAAUAUGAUGUAACUUAUUUGUUAUAUAGCGGAUUUGACUUCUCUUCAAUGGAUACUCUCUUCAUUUUUCACAGUGUACAUAUCUUCAUUUAUUAAUAAGAGUUAGGAUUAGUCGAACUUAAAAUGAUUAUGUCUCUUCCUAAUAAUGAAAACAUGUUAUGCAUCUAGAUGUACACUGUAAAAUAUGGAAAGAGAAUCCACGCGAGAGGUGCCAAUUCCGUGGUAAAAGUUGAUUAUACUAAGUGAUCUACAAAUUUGUGAAGUAAAUUACUACUCACAAUGUAGGGAAAAUUUUAAUGUAGCUUGAAUUUUGGUACCCUUUUUAUCAACCCUACUACCCUAAACUUUGUUAGAUUUAUACAUCUUCCCACUUAGCCGUUGCAUCUAUUUCAUUUUCCGUUUCUAAGGGAAUGCUUGAUUCAAGUUUAGGAAUUGGAAUUGUAAUUGGAAUCAUGACCAAAAUUUGAGUAUGGGUUCUGAUCAAGGAUAUCAUUAUAAUAACUAGUGUUUGGUAUAUACUUAUAAGCUUUUGGAAUCAAUUUUUUUUCGUUUUCUUGUCUUUAUUUUUUUUUCUUCUUUCCCAUUUCCUGCUUCCUUCUUCCUAGCCUUUAAAUACUCAUGCUUCACCAAAUUCUCUUGAACCACCACCAAUCAACUUUACAAUUUGUGGAGCAUGGGAGAGCGAUUGACAAGAGAUAAGAGAAAAACUUACAUAAAAAGAAAAAAAAAAGAGAGGAGAGAAAACCAGAUGGAGAGGAGCGAUUGUCGUGGAGGAUUGUAGGAGAGAGGAAGAGAGUGAAAAGAGAAGAAAAGGGAAAAUGAGAGAGAGAUUGACAAGAAAGGAGAGAGAACCAAAUGGGAGGGGGGCUGCUGCCAUGGAGGAUUGGAGGAGAGAAUGAAGAGAAAAGAAAGAGAGAAAAUGAUGGUGAUGGGAGGCUGCCGUGAAAGAUGGGAUGAGAACGAAAAAAUGAAAGAGAAAACAUGAUGGUAAGGUGUUGCCAUGAAAGUUGUGCCAACGUCAUAUAAUGAUGAAGACAAUAUGUUUUCUUUUCUUUUUUGAAGUUUUCGAGUCAAAUUGAGUUAAAUUUGGGAAUCCUCCAAAACCCUCCAAUUUAUACGGGAUUGAGAACUACCAAAUUUUAAUGAUUUAUUCCAAGAUUUUGAAUCCAAUACAUGUAACCCAAACAACAAGAAUUGGUAUUAUUUCAGUUCUUGAUUCCAAUCCUCUUUUACCAAACGGCACCUAAGUUUACUUAACACUAGUUUCCAGCAAAAGUUCAUUGUGUUAGGGUAGUUAGGCCUUGUUCUCUAAUGAUUUUCAAGACUUGAUUCUAGAUUUUAAUUUUGGAAAAGCUAUUCUAUUGCGUUCUUAACUGUUUUUCAUAUGUUGAUUAGUUACUAUCAAGUAUCAAUCAAGCCAUUUAGUCAAAUGCAAAGACCAGUAUAGCAACAAAAAUACCAAAUGGUUUUAAUGAUCUUUUUUAUGGCUGGCUAAUCGAUCGAUACCAAUGGGGUUUAAAAAUCAAUGUUUGAUUGUCUUUGAAACUAUGUUCUUGGAUGCACAUUCAUGAUUGGAAUUCAGUACUUAGGAUGUAGAGUGAAGACUUUAAGGUCUUUAAUCUGCUAAUUUUAAUGAUGAUAAAUAAGUCAUGAGAUUGUUUUAGAACGUAAGAGUGAAGACGACGUUAAGGUCUUUAUUCUUAAUUUUGAUGAUUAACAAACAAAUUAUGAGAUUGUCUAAAAUGUCAAAUCAGAACGUGAUAGAUGAAAGAUUUGUCUAACAGAUCUAGAAACAGGAAAAUGGCGCACCAAAGAAACGAAAAGGAUUGAAUGUGAAGCUUCAUUCUUGCUAGCAAAAAUGCUUAAAAUUGAAGUUAGUAGAAAGCGCAGGUAAAGUGACAAAACGUUCACAAGUUUACUGAAUCUUAGAAAAGGUGAUUUUUAUGGAUUAUAUAUGUAGCAGAAAAGCACCUUAAAUUUGGCGAACUAAUUUUCAAUUAAUUGUACCCAAUUUAUACAUCUUUAUUCUUCCAAAAUUGGUCUUCAUUUAAGUCUUAACAAGUAUCAGGAGCUGUAGUUUGUAUAUUCAUACCGUUGAGGGUGCUACUGAGCUUUUAUUUGCAAGUAUAGGCUUUGAAGAUUGCUGCUAUCAUUGAUAAUAAUCAACCUUGCAUUCUAAUGAAGACUAUGGAAAAUUUUCUGAAAGGAGAUUACAAAGUAUGCUCUAUAUAUAUAUGUAUGUAUAUCACAAGCAAAUAAAGAAUGAUUAAUUACAAAGUCUCAGCUCUUGAAAAUUCGAGCUAUUACAGGAAAAUCAAACCGUGUGAAGAAAAAAAUUGGAAAGCCAUCUAGUUCACUAAGGAUAUAUACAAAUGUGUUGAAUUCAAGAAAGUUUAUCAUGCUUUACCGAACAUGAACAAACUGUCCAGGCAGAACUUGUCUGAUCGAACCAGAAGAGCUUGUUUCGCCGAAUUUAUGCAGGAUUUUGAUAAGGGAUCGAGCUUUCUUGCCUGCAAGACUUGUUCCUUCAGUCACAAGUGAAUAAAGAGCAGGCAUGAGUGAUUGAUCUUUUGCUAAAACUGAGAUAACAUCUGCUCCACAAUUUAGGCACAGAGAGUGCAGAAUUGAAAGACAGUACUCCUUUCCUGCUCGAGAUGUUGUUGAAUGCAAUAGCCCCAAAACUGUAGGUAAGGCUGAAGAUUCAAGAAUCUUGGAUGAGCCAUUAACACUGUCGGCCAAUGUUGCGAGGACUGCUAAUGCAUCUGUUGUAAGCUCUACUUUUUCUGAAAUAGCUAAAAGAUUGACCAGUGCUGGAAUUGUCCCUGCUGCAAUCACCCUCUGAUGAUUUCUGUGGGACAAAAGCAGCCCGAAAAUCGCAACUACGGCAUUCUUUUUCCCACAAGUAGCACCAUCUUUGAUGAGCUCUACCAAAGCUGGAAUUGCAUCAGGUGUUUCUCCAAUCAGUUUACGAUAUUCAUGAACUGAGGCUAGGUAGAAAAGUGUUGCAGCUGCCGUUUGUCGAGCUUCCAUUUUGAGUCCGUUUCUGAGCACUCUGAGAAUCAAUUUCAAGCCCCAAUUCUCCAUGAUUUCUUUCGUACCACUGGAAUGCUUUGACAGCUUCAAUAAAGCAGACAUUGCAUUCUCUUGCAUAGAUGGAUUCUUAGAGUUAAGUAGUCCUAAAAGUGGGGGAACAGUUCCAGCUUCAAUCAUGCAAGACCUGUUGAAAAUGUUUGAUUUUGCCAGCAAACGAAUCUCGUAGGCAGCCUUGUUCUUUUGAUCAACAGUCCCAAAACAUAGCCGGCAAGCAAGGAAAUGAGCAAGGAAUCUAAUGGCUUCUGCGGCAGCAGCACUUCCUGGUACAAUCGUCCUCGAUACAUCGCGAUUUUUCUUCCUUGAUUUAGCCAAAGAAAUCCCAUUAUCAGCACAAAACUGCUGGAUAAGUUUCAGCAAAGCCGAAUUUGGCACCAAUUCUGUGCUUGUCAGCUUCUCCCCCGUUUUGGGACAAAUGAGAUGCCCUGAUCCCAACCAUUUCUGUAUCGAAAUUCGAUCAUACGUCUGCCCAGUUGACACAGUUACUGGAUCAGUCAUCAGCUCCAAUGAUAUGGGACACCUGAAGUCCUCAGGAUUCAAACAAGUCAGAGUUUCCAAGCUAUGUCUCCCAUCAUCUGAUUGAUCCGAAUUUCCAUAAUCAUAAUCCUCAUACAAAACUCCCCUGGAAUAACACAGCAGCCCAACUAAACUGCUCAAUAACGGCAACUCUCUCACAUUUCCAUCAUUUAAUUCCAAUCUGAUCUCUUCCUCUAAAAAUUUAAUCUCCUUUUGACAAUCAUUCCAACUUCUGAUAUCAAGAAAAUCAAGAACUUUCUUGAUAACACACCUCUCAGGCUCAAAUCGGUUCUCAAAUUGAUUCGAUAUCACAAUAACCCUCUUCAGUUCUUCCUCAUCCUCAAUACCAAUCUCCACUUUUGCCUUCUGUGAUUGCUUUGCUACUAAUUCCACGAGCUCCUUAACUUCGCGUGACAAAUCAAUAGAUUUCAGUGGAAGUACAUCAAGAGCAGUAGCCAUUGCUCUUACCAAAACCCGAAAUUGAGUCGUGAUAAAAUGCGAUUUCGUCAGUAUCCACAAUCUAGCUCCUUCUCUCGUGCAAUCCUCCAACAAAAACUCAAUUUUCUGAAACGUAAGAUGAAGUUCAGAAAAGCAGAGGACAAAGGAGCUGGACAAGCUAGGAACAUGUUCUCGAAUUUCCUCGAAAAACAUCAAAAGAAUCCCAAUUUGGCGAAUCACUUCGCGGGCAUUUUUCCUUUGGCUUGGGAUAUAUUUGGAUCGGAAACUACAUAUCCUACCAGAAAGAUUUAUUAGCGACUCCAGAAGUAUCCCUGGAGAUAUCCCUUCACAUGGAUGGACAGCCGGAAAUGUCAGAAUCCGGCGAUCACUCCGAUCAAACCGUUGAAUCAUUGGAAAUUUACAAACAAAGUUAACAAAUUUGUUUGUAUGAUCAAUGAAUUUUGUGUUGUUUGUUGUGUUAGUUGAAAUUUUAAGUAUGGUCUGUUUUAGGAAGGUAAAUAUAAGAUUUUUGUGGGAAGUUUCUGUUGGUGUAUCCAUAUUGAGAAGGAUUUGAAUGAUUUGAUUUUUAAUCGACACGUGGCAUUAGAAUGUGUGGUCUUUUGACUUUUUAAAUUUCUGCGUGGACUUUUGGUGGGACCGUAGUGAGGUGACCUUGGCAGUGAGGUGUACCAUACACGUGGAAUGGAUACGUGUGCACUAGGGAUUGGUGGAUAGUGACUUAAUAUAAAGGCUAUAUUACAGAAUAUAAAAAUUUUAUGUGAAUAACAUUUUCAUUUUUUUCCGAUAAAUAAUAGCAUUCCUAUAUUUGGCCACUAAAUAAAACAAAAAAAUUCCUAUUUGUAACAGUGAUAAUCUACAUUAAUGCGUGCAAAUAGACACGUGUAACUAGUACUAGUAUAUUGCGCAGCAAGCAAAUCUACACGAGCUCAUUUGAGAUGAAAAUGAGUAAAAAGUAUUUUUAUGUAAAGAUAUGGUAGGUUUAUGUGCAUGUAUAUAAUGAUUUUAUAAAGUGACAAUCACGUUUGACUUACAUAAAGUUAUUUCCAAGAAAUCUUACAUAUAAAACGCGUCUAUACUUUACACAAUCACUUGUCACACAUAUGAAGUCAUUUUAAAGAAAUUUGAUGUUGUAGAAACCAUUUAUUUAACAAAUCAUUUCAUACCUUCUAAUCUCUCUAACUUUUACUUUCUAAGCUUCUUACUUCAUAAUACCGUGAGGGGUGAUAUUUAGGUGUAUUAACACGUAAUUGAUCAAUCGAUUUACUUUUUACACACGUCUUUCUAAAAAUCAGAGUAUAUAUGGAAUAAAAAAUUAAAGAAAAUAAGAUAUUUUAUCGAAAUUUACUAUAGAGGUCUCUUACAGAAAUUCUUACAGAUCAUCCAUCAUAAGUCAUUUAUAGAAUUUCUUAUAAAUCGCCCACCAACACAGUUCUCACAUCGAAUAGCAAAAUUCGAACACACGAUUUUUUUUACGAGAAAAUAACCCGUUGAUGCAAAUUAAAUUUAACUUGUGUUGCCAUUGAAUCGAACGUGGCUGAUUACAGUGGAUUUUACACGUAGGAAGUAGGCGUGUUACACGGUUUACAUUUUCAUUUGUGCAGCUAACCUGGAGACUGAUAGGCUGAUAGGAGGAGGGCAGUUUUUUCCUUCUUUUUUUUAAUAUUUGAUGUUUGGAUAAAUGAUUGGACUGAGUGAAGGUUCCUUGAGGUCAAUCUCAUGUGGGUCCAAGAUUUGGCCGACACUGGGGGCACGUGGAUGUAUCAGGACACCGUGACUUGCAGCGUCAGGCGGGGGGAAAGUCCGCUUAAAUUCAUGAAGCAGUGCAGCCGACAAGGAAUAGAUUAUGGAUGUUCCAAGGCAAAAAGCUAUGGCCUUUGCUUCAUGCAACGGAGGAGAAAAGUCAUUUUCGCACCAUGAUCUUCCGGCAGAAGGUAUAUCCCAUCCCGGAUCCCGUUGGGAUACUACGCUAUUGUUGGAACAAAUUGUAUGGUGCAACUGACGGUGUAAAUAUAUUUAACUUGAAUUUAAACGAAGGAGAUCGAUUGCAAGGCAUUUUGAUACGUUACUAUUAGCCGUUGGCUCACACUUGGACAAAUUCGAUUUCUAAAAAUUCAAUAAUUUAAAUUGUACCACACCAUCUCACCAAAUGAUGUAGUUAUUUGUCACCAAAUGGUAUAGUUAUUCUGUGUACAUUUGUUGGGGUAGUUAUUUGUUGUAUUCUUCACGUUGUUGGUUUGGUGUCUCAUUUUGUUGUGCAAUUAAUGGAUGGUGCAAUUGAACCUGGGAAUUGCAGAAGUUUGGAAUUUGAUAAGGAGCUCUACUAUCUAGUUGUGAUUGUAGAAUGCAAUUAAUAGUGGGAUAUUUAUUUGAUCUGAAAUUAAAUGGAUAGGAUUGACUUUCAGACACAAUUUUCAGUAUAUAUUAAAAUUUGUUAUGUUUUUACAUGAUUUUAUUCUAGUACCGGACUAAUCACCCUGUACCUGAAAUACCCCGCCCCUAAGAGCACCCAGGCGUUAAGAGAGGUUUGAACCUGGACCUUGGAAUUUGGAAUUUGAUAAGGAGCUCUACUAUCUAGUUGUGAUUGCAGAAUGCAAUUAAUAGUGGGAUAUUUAUUUGAUCUGAAAUUAAAUGGAGAGGAUUGACUUUCAGACACAAUUUUCAGUAUAUAUUAAAAUUUGUUAUGUUUUUACAUGAUUUUAUUCUAGUAUAUACCUUUAGUGUUUCAGUUUGUACAUAUUGUUUAGUGCACACACUAUACGUGCAUAUAUAUAUAUAUAUAUAUAUAUAUAUAUAUAUAUAUUGUCAAUACAGGGUGUAUCCCAAUUUUGCCUGACUAAUCACCCUGUACCUGAAGUACCCCGCCCCUAAGAGCACCCAGGCGUUAAGAGAGGUUUGAACCCUGGACCUUGGAAUUUGGAAUUUGAUAAGGAGCUCUACUAUCUAGUUGUGAUUGCAGAAUGCAAUUAAUAGUGGGAUCUUUAUUUGAUCUGAAAUUAAAUGGAUAGGAUUGACUUUCAGACACAAUUUUCAGUAUAUAUUAAAAUUUGUUAUGUUUUUACAUGAUUUUAUUCUAGUAUCUACCUUUAGUGUUUCAGUUUGUACAUAUUGUUUAGUGCACACACUAUACGUGCAUAUAUAUAUAUAUAUAUAUAUAUAUAUAUAUAUAUAUAUAUAUAUAUAUAUAUAUAUAUACAUGCAAUUUUUUUGAGUGCAAGAUUGUGAGUUAAAUUACAAUGAUAACAAUUUUAAAUUUCUUAAUGUGAAAUUUAUUUUCAUUUAUUUCAUUCUAGCUCUAGAAAAUCCCAUGUUGCAAUUUUUAGUUUCUAGGACACUAACAACUAGUUAGGGAGAUGAGAUUUGAGUAGAAAAGUAAAGAAAAGGAAGAGAAAUCCAUAUCUUUCUCAUGUUUGGGACUUCUAGAUAGUGUUUGUUUGCCAGUAAAAGAGUAGGAAAGUGAAGGAAAAUAACUUUUCUGCAAGUUUUGAAUGUUCGUUUUUUAGGAAACUUAUGGAACCCACCACAUAAAAUUUUUGUGUAACCACUUAUUGUGCUAUAGAAUUUUUCCUACAGAAAUCAAUAGGAAAUGUGAGUUGCGGAAAAGUUUCAACUAGUUAGAUUUUUUACAACUCCUUUCUUUCUAAACUAUUUUUUCCAUUCUUAACUUCAAAAUAAAUUAGAAAAACUUAGAAUUCACAAUUCAAAAAAUUGGCUUGUGGUUAGAUAUUUUAUUCUUAAUUUAACAAUUAAUGGAUUAGUAGUUUGUUGGAUUUACAUGACAUUAGUAUUUUUUUUCUUUUACAUUUUAUGCUUCUUUUUAUGUUUAUAUAUUUUGUGAACUCUUAACCUAGAAGGGAUUCUAAAGUCCCAUUUGAUAAUCAAAUUCAAUCCCUAAAUUUAAUGAAUUCAGACGUUAUAACAAAAAAUAGAAUGCUUAAUUAAUUAAGUAGUUCGGAAUUGUUUAACCAAAACUUAUUCAAAACAAUAAGUGAUAGGCUCUCCCACCUCAAUAAUUGAUGAAGUGUAUAUAUGAAUGUAAUCAUUUCAAUUUUUUGUAUGGACGAACCUUUUAUGGGAUUGAAAAUGCCAUUUUUUUAUUAUUAAGAGUAUGAAUUCUCUAAUCAUCUCUCUUGUCUUUUCUUAAAUAGAAUUCUUUAAUCAUACGUUCUUGUAUCAAUGAACCUUAUGACUGAACCUUCUAUGGGACUACAUUUAAUUAUAAACUAUAACAACACUCGGAAUUAUGAUAAUGUAGAAUGAAUUUCCCGUGAAGGAAUAAUGCAUUUCAUGCCAAAUCCAUAAAGAAACUAAUGUAGCCCUUAUCUAUAUAUGACAUCGUUCUAUGGACCAAAAAUUUUAAGAUUAUUUGAUUAGCUUUGAUUCAAUAUAUUACUAUUAUCCUCCUUGCAGGGUCUGCAAAUUUCAUUGGCUUAAUCAACAUCUAUUUUUUCUCUCUUUUUUUUUUAAAAGAAAAUGUUAGUAAUUGAUUUUUUUAAUAUAAAAAAUGAUUGUUCAAAGUACCAAGGCCUUUACCUUUCUUGCAAAUACAUAGGUAAACUUAAUCUUGCAGACCAUUGCUUUAAGUAAUUGUACAUAUAUGUAUUAUUAUUUGUACCUCAUGCAGGAAUGCAAGUUUCUAAAGCAUGUUGAUUUGCAAACAGGUGUACCUAAAUACUUUUCGUACAUCUACUAGCUAUGAAGCAAGAUUUACAGGUCUUUAAAUCAAUUGUCGGUUUAAGCUUCUAUAGUUGUGGCAUGAUAAAAAUAACAUUCCAAUUCGUGAGCUAUUGCAUCAAGUUUCUUACGUACAUAUUUCACGUUAGCACUCUAAUUUAUGACUUUACUUGCCAACAAAAUUUUAUGCAGGUGUCAAGCUUAUGUUUAAGAUAUUCAUCCACCUAGCACAAGGACGGAACUAGUGGGGGCCGCGGAAGGACUAAGUUUUAGAUAUUUAUAAAAAAAUUUUAUGUGUUUUUUACUAUUUGCCCCCCCCCCCCCGCCCCCCAAAAAUUUAAAAAAAAGUCCUAUAUAGAUUCAAAAGUUUAUAUGCACACGUAUUUCAUCCCCGAAUUAAAAUUUGUGAUUCCAUCUAGGGAUGCAUUCAAAUCGAGUUAAGUUUAAGUAGUACACUACUCGAACUUGAUUCGGGAUAAAAUAAUUGAGUUCAAACUCGAAUUCGAAUUCGUCAAACUUUUAGAAGUUAAGUUCAAGCUAGAACUCGACUUCAGUUUACCUCACUCGAGUUUGAACUUGACCUCAAGUUUAAUUAAAUCUAAUCGAAUUAAAUCAAGUUCGAUCGAGCUUAUUUGAGUGUAAUCAAGUUAAAUUGAACUUAUUCGAGUCUAAUCAAGCUCAUGUAGUAAAAAUUAAUAUUUUACAUAUAAUUUUAAAUAAAGGACAUUAUUGACAUCUCAUAAUAAUAAAUGUAAAAAAUUAAAAAAUAUAUAUUAUAAAAAACUCAAUUAGACUUAUCGAGAUUUCGAAUACAAAAUAUUAGAACUCGAAUUCAACUAAUAAGUUCACACGAGUGGCUCGAACUUGAGGUUGAACUUGAUCAAAACGAGCUCGAUUUAAGUUAUUGAAUCGAGUUAUUUGGUUUAAGCAUCAUCUCUAGUUCCAUCCCUAGCCUAGCAUAUCACUGUUUCCUCUAGAAAAUUCUUUUUUCUAGAGAAUUCCAUUCAUAAUGCUGACACUCGCAAGGCUUGUCCUCGUUUAAUUUGAUAGAUACUGAUGACCAUUGGAAAAUCAUAGGCGUGAAAAGGUCCCAUUCUAUGGUGCCAUUUUUCCUUUUUAAAGUUUAACAUUUUCCGUGGUGGACCAAUAAGCAUUAAUCAGUUGGACUUGAUUGGUUUCUCUUAUUGAUUACGAGAUCUACGCUUCAAACACCACCACAAAAAACAUAUAGGGAAACGCUUUAAAAUUUUAGGAGUGUUAAUAUAGCAGCUGUUGAGUGGGUACUUAUUAAUAUUAAUUUCUGGUGUUAGUUUUUUAAUAAGGUGAAAUAAAUCAAAGUUAGAAUCUAAAUGUUAGAGAAAUAACAAAUGUGAACAUGUCAAUGCAAUUAAGCAUAUUAAUAGAUCGGGUCUUAUCCAAAUUUAACAUAGACCCAAUAUACUUGAGUGGGUUUGGAUUUAAUUUUUCAAAUUCAGACCCUACCCAAACCUAGAUCUUGUGAGAGAGUUAUGGUUCUGGGUAGGAUUUAGUUUUUUAGAAUCCAUACCCAAAUUUAGAUCUAUACCAAGUCAUAUCCAGAUUUAGACCCAUACCAAGAUUUCGUUUCAUUAGAAAUCUUGCAAAAUAUUUCUUUUGCCCUACCAUCUCUUGUAUUGUCUUUACUAUUUUCGGCUAUUACAAUUGCAUUAGAAUCUACAUUUAAUGUUGGUGGUAGGAUAAUUGAUGAGAUUCAUGCUAAUUUGCUUCCAGAUGUGGUUGAAGUAUUAGUAACUAUUGAUAAUUGGAUUGAAUCAAAGAAAAAAGAUGAGUAAGUAUUUAUAAAUCUUCUUAUUCUAUUAUUUAUUUGCUAUCGGUUCUUAGUCAAAUGAUUUUUAUCUCAUUCAUUAUUGUAGCGUUGGAUUGCAAGAGAUCUAUCUACAUUGGGGCUUAAAUAAGAUAAAGAGGAACAAAAUUAUAUAUAUAUUUAAUAAGGCUAAAUAUUUAUAUAUGUUAUAUUGAUUUCUAUUUUUCAAACUAAUUCUAGUUGUUAUUAUAAUUUGUACAAACUGUUCAGGAAAAGAAGAAAAAAUAAAGACAAACAAAUAAAAGAUUGGACGUGGAUGUAGUUGAAAUUCUGAAAAUAUAGAGAAAGUAGUCAAUGGUAGUUCUUUCUUUGAGUUCAUAAAAUUACAUUCAACUUGUUGAAUAUUAAUUUCAUCAUUUGAAAACAAAACUUGGACGGUAUUUAUAUUAUUUAUUAACUCUAUAUACUUUUAAUAUAUUUUUAUUUUAGUAUGUUCAAAAAAUACUCACAUAUAUUUAUUGGAUACCCAGAUCCAUAAGGGUCUAGAUCUAGAUUUAGCAUGUGUUUGAUAAAACUAAAAUCUAAUAACUGAAAUCUGAAAUCUGAAGUUUAAAUUCAUUAAUUCAUUAAAUUCUUGAGUAUCAAAUUUAUUAUAUGUGAGUGUAUAUCACAUUCAGUAAUAAAUAAAUCUCUUAUCACUUAAUUUUGGAGCAAGUUUUAUCUAGGAAAUUCAGUGAUACUUAAUUAAUUCAGAUGUUUAAUUUUUGGUAAUCAAACGCGUCUGAAUAGAUGGAUCUAUUAAAUUUAAGUGUUGAAUUGAGUUAUCAAACAUGACCUUACUUUUUCAUACCCGUAAAGGUUUGGGUUUGAGUAUACAUAUAUGUGUGUAUUGGAGAGUGCAAGUGAGAGAACUUGAGUUCAAACUCCUGUAAGUAAGAGGUAUCGAGUUUGAACUCUUUCAUUUACACUGAAAAAAAUAUACGUGUGUAUGUGAAACAAGAUACUCAGCUCGAAAAUAAUUCGAGAGAGCUGUCUCAUCAAUAACACUCAUCAUUUAUUCCGAACAUGUUUUGAUUGGAGACAUGGGCAUCUACACUGACAAUCGCUAGCAUCCUAAGAAUUUUUCUAAACUGAAUAUGUACCGACCACUUAUGUGAAAGCUGAAAAGCCCCUCGCAUCCAAGUUAUCAAUCCAUCUGUUUAUGAUCCGAACUUAUGACGUGUACGUACAUAAACCAUUGAUAUUUUUCCACUUUAAGGGACACAAUUGAUCUCUGGCCCGCCCUAGAGGAUUAAUUAAAAUAGAUUUUACUCUAUUAUAUUUUUGAAGAAUGCUAAACAGAAAGGAUUCUAUAAGCUGUAAUGCCAUCCUCACGUGAAAAUUUGAGAUAUGAACCGGGCUCAUAAAAGAAUAAACAUUUGUACAGAAUACAUGAAAAGUGUACGUUCCAGAGUAGUAUGAUUUGAAAUUAUACCCAUGCAAUUGAUAGUUGAGUAUAACGGUCAAUUAAUAACACAAGUUAUUAUAUAUAUAUAUCGCUGUAACGAUAAUAUUUUUAUAAUCUAAUUUAUCCAUUUUUAAAGGGAGGGAUGCUUAAAGAAGCUUCGCCGUUAUUAUAUAUUACCUCUGUAUGUAUUUGUGUAUUGCGUAGUACAAUUGAGACUUGACAGUUGCAGAACCCUAAAUCGGAUUAUUUGAUAUGAAAGAUGAAAUUUCAUGCUGACAAAGCAGGGAUGACAAUGAAUACAGAAAUAGUAGGGUAAUUGCUUGAGGUGGACCAAUAAUGUAUCCACAUGUAGCAUGAACUAAUUUGUCUCUCUAUUAGUAGUCCAUUAUCUAUUGUCUAAUCAAAACCUAUUCAUACCAUUAUCAUUGUUUACUUGUCUUAAACACCAAGAGUCCUCCUUGAGCAUGCAAUCUCAUUAUUUGAUAGCUCAAACUUAAUGGUCCAAUAAAGGGGCAUGGAGCCAUCAUUAGAGAAUAAUAAUUAUAUCUUCUGCAGAGGAUGGAGGACAAGUGGAAUGUUGAUUUGAAUUUUUGCACAAUAAAGUAUUUGGAGGAAGAGCUAAACCUAAGAAGGAAAGUGAGAGAUAAGAUGAUGAAGUCAAUUUUGGUCAUAAGCAAAGUUUGCUUUUCAAGUAAUCAUCUCCUAGCUGCCACAUCUUCCAAUGAACACGAAGAAACAAGAUAAACUAAUCAUGUUCUUAGUCCAAAGAUAGACAAAACAAUCCACAUUAGAAUAUUGAUUGAGAACAUACCCACAUGAGCAAGAGUUCAAAGAAUAAGGGGUUUGAUUAAUUUGGAACCUAAUUAAUCAAUAGGUUUGAUUGAUUGGGUUUAUUAGGACCCAGGUUCUUAGAAAUAGAAUAUGUUGCCAAAUUCUUGGCAUAACAUCAUCGAACAGUUAUAUGACUCAUGCUUGGAUAGAGUCGAUCUUCAAAAAUUCAAUGACCCAAAUUGUGCCACACUAUCUCAUAAGAUAUGAUGUGGUACAAUCUGAACCAUUCAGUUUUCGAAGAUCAGGCCUAUCCAAGUUUUGGCCCAAUUAUGUAUAGCAUAAAACAGAUCUUGCAGUUACCUUAUCUGAUGUUUCUAUCAGCUAAAGUUAGGAAAAUUUUCUGGAACACACAAUUGUAGUUGGGAAAUCCAGUUUAAAUUAGAUUGCUCACCUCCAAAAGCUACGAGCCAAUAGCCAAUCUAAUCCAGUAGUAAAAUGGGAAAGCCCACAAGCCAAUUGACCCAAUUGGCCCGUAGUCCUGCUACCACUUUUUGAAAACUGUUUGGGUCAAUUGACAAUUCUUCCUCUUUAGUUGGUUAAAAAAUUUUGAAUUUUAGAUUCCAUGGUAAUUAUAUAUAGAAUAGAUUUUAAAAGGUAAUGACAAACUAGCCUGUCAAAACAUACUUGUUACCCACCUCAUUAUAUAUACAAUAGAUUUCAAAAGGAUUAAUGACAAACUAGCCUAUCAAAAAGUACUAAAAUUUGCAUCUUAAACGUCUAUAUUUCAGAUAUAAUACAAUAUAAACUUUGCAAUUUCAAAGUGCACAUGAUUUUGUCACAUAAGAUGCACGUUUUGCAAGGCAAAAAAAAAACUUUCAAUUGGGCCAAUAUUUUUUUAAAAUUGUGCAAGAAUAUAUAACACUUGGGGGUAUCUUCAUCCUGAAAAUAUAAUGCGCAUCAAUUUUUGUGGAUUGCAUGUUUGUCUUCUUCAUUUUUAUACACUUGCAAUUGGACAUUUCUCUAAAAUAUUGCUUUAAUAGCACAUUAGUUGUCAAAGUUAUAUUCAACUUAGGAUUUCUUGGAUUGAUUGUAUUAUAUGGCCCAAAAAAAAAAUGUGUAAGUAGCAGAUUGAUCUAUUUAAACAGUAAAUGGAAAAAAUUGUGAUUCACCUAUUCUUUGAGGGUGCAUCUUGUAAUUUACCCAUUCAAGAAUGCAUGUCUCCCAACAGAUAUGGCAUCAGAUUAAGUCUUGCUUUUGUAUAAAUCUAGCAAGGUUUCUAAGAAUCAGAAAACAGUAACAAAAUGUUAUUUUCACACUAAUAGUAAUACUUGAACAGAAUAUUAUCAUGUUUACCAAUUUAGGAUUGGUUUGGAAUGAGAAAUUUGAUGACUGAUUUGAAAUCUAUCCAAAUCGCUCUAGUUAUUUGAAUUGCUUAAGAGGCAUUUGAAUUUGUAAUUAGUUGUUCGGAUUACUUAAUAGGUAUUUGAACUUGCAAUUCACCAAUUAUCUGAAUAUAUUUUAAACACUAGAAUAAUUAGCAAUUUACAAAUUCAAAUACCUCUCAAGUAAUUUAAAUAACUAGAGUGAUUUAAAAGAUUUUCAAAUCAUUUGUCAAAUCCCUCAAUCCAAAAGCAACCUAAUUAAGUUUUAUGCCAUGGUAUUUAAUAUAUUUCAUACUCUAGAGCAAGUCACAGAAACUAUGAAAAACUGUAUCGGAGCAAGAAAGAAACAAACUUGAGAAGCAUACAUUACAUUCCAUUUCAAGUUCUUCAUGCCAACACUAUGCAUUUAGUCCACUUAUUAAAUAGGAAUUAUCAAACAAAGACCAAAAAAUUUACAACCAAGCUGGAUUCUCCAAUGGAGUAACAACAGCCUUCGCCUGCAAAUGGUUCUUUAGGCUAUAAAUUCCUUUUUCUCUUCCAUGACAGCUCAUCUUAUAGCCACCAUAUGGAAUUGCAGCAUCAAAGAUAUUAUAGCAGUUAAUCCAUACUGUUCCAGCCCUUAAUCCUCGUGAUAAUGUGUUUGCUGUGUUGAUGUUCUUUGCGAAAACUCCUGCUGCCAGACCAUAUUCUGUUGCAUUUGCCCUUCUGAUCACUUCAUCAAGGUCCCUAACAGGACAUGACAUGUAACACUCAUAAACUGAAAUCCUGUCAUAUCUCUUUUGUUGUAUUGUCUUCUCUAAAAGUUUGAAAUAAACAGAAAACUCAGAUAACACUUGGAAUCAUUUGCAUCAAGAUUAGACUUCAGAAAACAAAGAUGUAGUUAUUCAAUAUGCGAGUAUAUGUAGGUGUCAAUUCAUGUAUAUCUGAUUUCUGAAGGCAUUUGGCAACCUAGCUAGAGCAAUCCAGUCUGACCAGUGAUUCACUGGUUUUGUAUAGUGGUUUUCCUUGUACCAGGGGAGGAAAGGCCUGGGAGCCUGUUUCUUUUUCCUCAUAAUGCCAUAGGAUUUGUAUUUAGCUUUAUACAAGAGACCAAAUACAAAUUAUAUGAACAAAGUGUGGGUUUUACAUGAAAUUCGGUGUGAAGUAUCAUAUGACUCACUUGACUUUUAAGAUUGACGGCACUGGCCAAAAUUUCAUCCUUCGCUAUCAGCAUAUCAUCCUGUUUGAACAUAAGAUAUAUCAGUUAUUUUCAUUGAACUUUUGUACGCAUUGUAAGUGAAGAUCAGAGGGACAGAAAUGUAGAAUUACUUUAACAUUGGAGAAAACAGUUGGUUGAACAUAAUAGCCCUUGGAGCCAACUCUUUCACCUCCGCACUCAAGGGUAGCAAUACCAUCAAUUCCAGAUCUUACAUACUGAAGAAUCUUCUCAAAUUGUUUAGAAUCGAUCUGCGAUGUUUUAUUAGGCAACAAACUUUUGAGACAGUAAUUUGAAUCUCUAAAAUUUGAGAGCAACAUGGAUAUUGACAACUAAAUAUGACAAACUUUGUUUUUGAGUGUAAUUCGUAGUUUUGCAUUCUGCAAGACAAAUUUCCUUUGUUUUCUGACAAUGCUGGAUAUACUCCUUCACAGAGUCAUGUAUCAUAUUCGAAUGAAUGACAAUUGGUUGCAUUGCAAUGCUCUCAAAUAGACAAUAUCUGUGGCAUGUAGGUUGCAAAAGUAAUCUAGAGCCUUAGUUUAUGAAACCAUUUUGAUACAUAAGAGAGAAAGGUCAAAUGUGGAACAGGCUUACACAGUCUAACACACUACUAGAUGUCAUCUGAGAGCAUGCUUACUUUCACGUUGAACAAGAGAAACAGCAAAGAUUGCUGAACACCUGAGGGCCUUGUUCAACACCUUUCUUGAAUGGAUCUCCAACUAUACGCCUCAAGGCACUAGCCUUUGCUUUCUCCACAAACUCAUUAUAAACACGUUCAUGAACAAAUGUACGAGAGUCGAGAGCCAGCACAGCAGAUUUGGCCCUACAGGCAGCAAAUAAACUCAAAACACUUCUCAAUCUUCAAUAUCAGCUAUACAACUUUAUUAAUUAUUGCUGCACAAAUUCUUACAAGAUUAGUGAAUGUAGGUUUCAAAUGGUUGUAGGUAAUAAUUGUGAUUAGAAAACUAGUGAGCAUAAGUAUAUAAAGUGAUUUUAAGAAAUUUUUAAAAAAACAUGUCCUUAUUUUUGUGUUGUCUUUUCUACCUAUUAAAAUCCAAUGUUAUAAUAGUAAACUUGUAGAGUAUUUAUUUUAUUAUUUGUUUACCUUGAUAAUUUUAGUGAAUGAUUCAAAUAAUUCUAUAAAAUAUCAACUUAAUCUCAAACUAAAUUGAUAACUUAUUGAAAUGGAAAAAAGGCAACGAACCUAAUUUAAAGGUGUUGCGGAAGCCCUACCAAAGUUAAGGUAUAACGAGUAAAUUAUUGUAUCUAAAAUUGCAAAAUGGUAAUUCCCAGGAAAUAUUUGGUGAGGCACACUGGCCUGCUUAAGUACCAAUUUCCUAGACAGAAUCACCUAUAUAUGCACUUAAUUGCACAAUAACUCACUACAAAUAUACCUACAAAUAUAGCUACUAAAUAGACAAUAAAAUAGAACACCAGAAUUUAACGAGGUUCGGCUAAUUUGCCUACGUCCUCGGACACUACCGACAAUUUAAUAUUUCACUAGAAGAAAUAUUACAAAGAGAGAGAAGAAAGCAAGUUAUUGGCUCUUGCUUGGUGUACUUGAAUUGGUUUGUUUGAGAGCUAUUUAUAGUUCUCAAACAACCUCUCAAAUGUUAAACUUAACCGAUGUGGGAUUUAGAAAUUUAGGCCAAAGAAUUCAAAGUCCUCAAUUUUGGCUUGAAAAAGUCAUCAAUUGAGGCUUGGCUUUGAAUUCAACAAAUCUCCACCUUGGCAUAAUUUCUAAUCCCACCAAAAAUACAAAUUUUUUUUUCCCUCAAAUUCGGUGGUGUCUUCAAAUGCGUUGUCAAGCGCCAAUCUUCAAGUCGUGCACAACAUUUAUCAAAUUCAAACAAUGUUGGAAUUUGAUAGUUGUCACAACCUUCGUAAGCAUAUCAGCAGGAUUCUCCUUGGUCUGAAUCUUUUGAAGUAGUAUCGUACUAUCUUCCAAAAUCUUCCUCACAAAAUGAUACCGUACGUCGAUAUGCUUCGUCCUUGCAUGAUAAACUUGGUUCUUUGCUAAAUGAAUAGCACUCUGACUAUCACAAUGAACUUUGAUAGACUUCUGUCCAAUUUCCAAUUCAUCAAGCAAUCCAUGAAGCCAAAUUGCUUCCUUAACAGCUUCCGUAACUGCCAUAUACUCCGCCUCUGUAGUAGACAAAGCAACUGUUGACUGUAAGGUAGACCUCCAACUGACUGGUGCCUUAGCAAGUGUAAAAACAUACCCAGUCGUUGAUCGACGUAUAUCUUGAUCUCCUGCGUAGUCGGAAUCACAAUAUCCAACUACGCCUUGACCAAUCUUCUCAUCCCGCUCAAAUACUAAUCCAACAUCUACGGUGUUCAAAAUAUACCGUAAAAUCCAUUUCACAGCUUGCCAAUGCUCCUUGCCAGGAUCAUGCAUGUACCUGCUCACAACUCCAACUGCUUGUGAAAUGUCGGGCCUUGUACACACCAUAGCAUACAUCAAGCUACCCACCGCAUUUGCAUACGGUACCUUUGCCAUAUAUUCUCGUUCUGCAUCAUUCUUUGGAGAUAACGAUGCACUAAACUUGAAAUGAGGAGCAAGUGGAGUACUAACAGGUUUAGUCUUUUCAUUCAUACCAAACCUCUUUAAUACUUUACUAAGAUACUCUUUCUGUGUCAAAUAAAGCCUCCCCAAUCUUCUAUCUCUACUUAUCUCCAUGCCGAGAAUUUUCUUGGCUUCGCCGAGAUCCUUCAUUUCAAACUCCCGACUCAAAUGAGAUUUCAAUUUUUCAAUCUCACCUUGAUCCUUGGAAGCUAUCAACAUAUCAUCAACAUAAAGAAGAAGAUAUAUGUAGGAUCCAUCUCGUAGCUUGCGCAAAUAUACACAAUCAUCAUAUUUGCUUCUUGUGUACCUUUGCCCCAUCAUAAACUUGUCAAAUCGCUUAUACCACUGUCUUGGAGACUGCUUCAAUCCAUACAACGAUUUGUCAAGCUUGCAUACCAUCUUUUCUUUACCAGCAACUUUGAAUCCUUCUGGCUGAGUCAUGUAGAUUUCCUCUUCCAAGUCACCAUGUAAAAACGCAGUUUUUACAUCUAAUUGGACAAGUUCCAGAUCCAAUUGUGCUACCAAAGCCAAUAAAAUUCUGAUGGAGGAAUGUUUCACGACUGGAGAAAACACUUCGUUGUAAUCAAUUCCCUCCUUCUGAGCGUAGCCUUUAGCCACCAAUCUUGCUUUGUAGCGAACACCAGACUUGUCAGGAAAUCCUUCCUUCUUUGCAUAUACCCACUUGCAUCCGAUUGCCUUCUUUCCCUUUGGAAGACUGGUUAGCCUCCAUGUUUGAUUCUUAUGAAGGGAAUGUACUUCUUCAUCCAUUGCAAUCCUCCACUUUUCUUUAUCCGAACUUUGAGCUGCUUCAUUGAAAGUGGCAGGAAUAUCAACAUUUAUGGUUGGGGAUGCAUAGGCCACUAUAUCAGCAAAACGAGCAGGUUUUCUGAUUGUCCUCUUUGGCCUACUGGUUGCAAUUGAUUCAUGUUGCUGUGAAAGUUCUUCAACUGGAACAUUUUCUUCAGUUGAUUCUUCUUCUACCAUAGGAGUCCUUUCAUCUACUCCGAUAUCCACUGCUGGUCUGAUAAUGCUUCUUUCAAACUCCAUCUGCUUAGGAGUGCUCUCCACCUGUUGGGGAGUACUAUCAUUCUGCUGUACAUCUACCUUUGUUAACAUGGUAGAUUCAUCAAAGGUGACAUCCCUGCUGAAAACUAUCUUUUUCGUUUCGGGACACCAAAGGCGAUAACCUUUAAUGCCUGUUGUGAUCCCCAUAAAGAGCGCCUUCUUCGCCCUUGGAUCCAACUUUGAUUCUUUAACAUGAUAAUAUGCAGUAGAACCAAACACAUGUAAGGAAUCAUAAUCUGUAGCAGGUUUUCCCGACCAUUUCUCUAAUGGCGUUUUGCCGCCAAUAGCAGUUGAUGGUAAGCGAUUAACGAGGUGAUUUGCAUAUGCUAAGGCCUCAGCCCAAAAUUGUCUGCCCAACUCAGCAUUGGACAACAUACACCGAACUUUCUCCACCAAUGUCCGGUUCAUACGCUCUGCCACCCCGUUUUGCUGUGGUGUAUCUCUGACUGUGAAGUGCCGAACAAUGCCUUCAUUUUCACAGACCUCCAUGAACGGAUCACUAGUGUAUUCACCUCCGUUGUCUGUUCGAAGGCGUUUGAUCUUUCUUUCUGUUUGAGUUUCCACCAUCUUUUUCCACUUGAUGAAAAUUCCCAAUACUUCACUUUUCGCCUUCAUAGUAUACACCCAUACUCUUCGAGAGAAGUCAUCGACAAAGGUAACAAAAUAAUUCUUGCCUCCCAAAGAAGUUGUUUUGGAAGGUCCCCACACAUCAGAGUGCACAUAAUCCAAAAUACCCUUGGUAUCGUGAAUUGCAGUGCCAAAUUUUACCCUUGUCUGCUUUCCUUUGACACAAUGCUCGCAAAAAUCUAACUUGCAAACACUGGCUCCUUUUAAUAGUCCUUGAUUCAUCAGAAGAUUCAAAGAUUUUUCUCCGGCAUGCCCUAAGCGCAUAUGCCAUAAUCUGGUUACUUUCAAUUCUCGAUCAUCACUGGAAGCCACGGCCGCUACUCCAACAACUGCAUUACCUUGAUAGUAAUACAAGUUAUUAUUUUUCCGGAUUCCUUUCACCAGCACCAAUGCACCUGAAAUGAUUUUCAUCACUCCAUUAUAUGCCGACACCUUGUAGCCCAUUGAUUCUAGUACUCCCACAGAAAUGAGGUUCUUUUUCAAUUCUGGCACAUAUCGGACAUCAGUUAGAAUCUUAAUUGAUCCAUCCUGAUUCCUCAGCCGAAUUGAACCAACCCCAUUUGUUGCUAAUGUGGUCUCAUCUGCCGUGUAGACGACUCCACCUUCUUUUUCCUUGAAAUCAAAGAACCAUUCUCUAUUGGACGUCAUAUGAUGGCUACAACCUGAGUCCAAUAGCCAUGUACUAGAAUGACCAGUAGGCAUGACAGCUAAUGAAAAAUCUGAGUUUUGAUCAAUGCACUCAGAUACAUUUGAAUCCGCAACAGCUUUUUCUUUGUCAGGUCUACCCUUCAGUUUUGGACAGUCCUUCUUCCAGUGCCCUUUCUCUCUGCAAAAGGCACACUCAUCUUUACUUAGUCUGGCUCUUGACUUGGAUCUUCUUCUCGUCCCCUUUCUCUGGUUUUGUGAGCGUCCUCUAGUUACCAGAGCUUCUGCUGCUCCAUCUCUGCUAUUUUGCUUGUCUUUUCUUCUGAGCUCAUAGCUGUACAGGGCAGAGCUAACUUCACUGAGGGACACCUCAGCUUUCCCAUGGAGUAGAGUUGUUUCAAGAUGCUCAAACUCCUCAGGAAGAGAUCCCAACAACAUGAGAGCCAAAUCUUCGUCUUCAAAUGUCACAUCUAAAUUCAUCAGAUCAGUGAUUAACUGAUUGAAAUUAGUGAUGUGAUCACUUAGAGUUGUGCCAGGAACAUAAGUGAAGCGAAAUAAACGCUUCUUCAUGUUGAGCCUGUUCUGACAAUUUUUCUUCAAGAACUUCUCCUCCAAUCCAGUCCAUAAUUUAUUUGCAGAGGUUUCUUUUGAGAACACAUAUUUUUGUUCCCUUGAAAGACACGAUCGAAUUGUACCACACGCUAAACGAUUUAGCGUCCUCCAUUCCUUCUCUUCAAUCUCUUCUGGUUUCUCUUUUUCGAUGGCAAUGUCUAGACCUUGAUUAAAGAGCGCGUCUAGAAUCUCACUUUGCCACAUGCCGAAAUGACCGGUACCAUCAAAUGUCUCCACAUUUAAUUUUGUAUUCGUCAUAACAUUUCUCGCCAUAAUAGAUAAUGACGAGCUUGUUGAUGCUUGCAUUGUAGAUGAAGAUCUACUUUCGGCCAUCUCUACAAAUUAUAUUUAGUAGCUCCUAAAUGUAGAGUAACAAUAGCCCAAGAAAUCUUUUCUGAUGUGGAAGAUCAGACCAUGCUGCAACCACAGAGCAUACUAAGAAACCUCGAGCUCUGAUACCAAUUGUUGCGGAAGCCCUACCAAAGUUAAGGUAUAACGAGUAAAUUAUUGUACCUAAAAUUGCAAAAUGGUAAUUCCCAGGAAAUAUUUGGUGAGGCACACUGGCCUGCUUAAGUACCAAUUUCCUAGACAGAAUCACCUAUAUAUGCACUUAAUUGCACAAUAACUCACUACAAAUAUACCUACAAAUAUAGCUACUAAAUAGACAAUAAAAUAGAACACCAGAAUUUAACGAGGUUCGGCUAAUUUGCCUACGUCCUCGGACACUACCGACAAUUUAAUAUUUCACUAGAAGAAAUAUUACAAAGAGAGAGAAGAAAGCAAGUUAUUGGCUCUUGCUUGGUGUACUUGAAUUGGUUUGUUUGAGAGCUAUUUAUAGUUCUCAAACAACCUCUCAAAUGUUAAACUUAACCGAUGUGGGAUUUAGAAAUUUAGGCCAAAGAAUUCAAAGUCCUCAAUUUUGGCUUGAAAAAGUCAUCAAUUGAGGCUUGGCUUUGAAUUCAACAAAAGGGACAUCCCUUAUAUUUUAAAGGGACACUUGAUUGAGUGUUUAAUUAUCAAUACAAGAGAAAAAAUGAUAAAACUCAUUAUCAAUUAAUUAGUCAUAAUGCAAAGCAAUAAAUACAUAUAUCAUCAAGGAGGUCUUGGCUUAAUGACUAAGGUUGAGACCUUAAAAAUUAGAGCUCCUAGGCUCUAAUUCCCUACCCCCCUCCUUGCUUUUUAAGUCCUACCCCUUCCCUGUUAGAAAAAAAAAAAAGUUUGAGACUAGCUAUGCAAAAGUGGAGAAGCGUCUGAAAAAUUAGUGAGAUAACUAAAUAAAAUAAAAUAAAAUGAGAACAAAAAGAUGUUUAAUUAGUUUUUGCAUGUUUUUUUUAACACAAUUUCAAUCUAAUUCGCAUCUUCUUUCAUCCUAAAACCACUAUUUAUAAUCUAAGGGACUAUAAUGAUCCAAAUUCGAAACAUCGAGGACCAAAAGUACAAAAUCAAAGUUAUUGACAAAUGGCAAUUUAAUAUGACGGUUAGUUAUUAUUGAAUUUCCAUCAAGUGUCCUAAAUGUUCCUAAAAUCUAAAAUUUUGAGGACCAAAUUUGUUUUGGUCAAAAUAUUAAGGAGUAGCUUAGCACAUAGGCCAAACAUUAAGGUCUAAAACUGCAUUUUUUUCCUACAUUUGAAAAUGUAAAGUAUUUUUACACGGGUAGUGUACUAAAAAUGAAUCGUUUACUUAAUACUUCUUUCCACCCUAGCUUCUUAAAUGAAUAAAAAAGAACUCGUUAUUUUUCUUUUGAUAAUACGCAUUGCGUGCAUAUUUGUUUGCAUAUUCAGAAGUUAACAUGAUCCAUGGCAAUUUCAUUGUUAACAAAAUGAGAAAGGAUCAUUCAAAAAUUCAACCUAGUAAAAUAAGAACUUUGAAUUCACAGUGGUGUAUUUUAGAGUCCCCUUUUGAUCAAUCGUUUCAAGUUUUAAAAGCAACUUGGUCCCAUGCAACAUGUAUGACGGGUCAUUGCCCUUCUUUCAUCAGGAAAUGGAAAGCAGCAUUGAGAGUUAGAUAUAUCAAGGCGCCUGGUAGUUCAAUCAUGCAUCUAUGAAUGAUGCAGCUUGAUUCGACACACGUUUCAUCUAGAUGGUUCAACUAAUCCAAGAAACGUGAGGUCUUUUUCUGUAGCGGAUCAGCGCAGAUAAAUUUUCGGUUAUAAAAAAUAAAAAACUAAAAUCUUGAGUUGAAUAUAAAUAAGAAAUUGGCUCCUCCACAUUUUUUUUUUUGCCUUUGAAAGACAAUCACGAAUGAUCAUUCAUGUUUGAGAGAGAAUAUUUCAUUCAACUUGAUAAAAUGGACACCCAAGAAAUGAGUUCAAGAGGGCUAUUUGUAACGUUUAAGUCAAGAAAGUAAUAAGCUAAUGCUAACAAAGAAAUACUCAAAUUACAAGCGGAAUGAAUGUCACAAGUCUGUGCUCUUCUUUGUGUAGAAAGCUAGUGCAAAAGAGGAAAAAAAUUGCAAGACAAUUAAAGCACCACCCUGUCCAAAUCAAAACAAGAUUCUGCAUUUGUAUUUUGAGGUUUCUUGGGCCCAAUUUCUUAGUUUGUGAUUGAAAAAAGAAAAUUCAUAGGCCAAAGGGAAUUGAUCUAAAUGAGGUUCAAAACUUUUGUACUUGUAACAUUUUUUUGUUUUGAGGGAGGGUUGGAUUUGGUGGUGAGGUGGGAGAGAUUGUAAGUAAUAGGUCAUGAAUUCAAACUCCCAUUUACAAAAAAAAAAAAAGAUGUUUUUUUUUCUUUCCGGUUAUUACAUUGCAUAUCAUAGUGAAGCUGGACUAUAGGUUACAAUGUCGUAUAUCUCCCAUCGAGUAGAUAAUUUUAUUAACUAAAAUUGGAGCUGCUUAAAUUACCAAUGUCUAAUUUAAGUCCAAUCUUUUACCCUUAAUUUUGCUUUCAAGUAUAUUCAAUACCUUUAAUCACACCAGCAAAAUUGCUGAUUUAUCGUCCCGCAGAUCACUGUUUUCAUUUGAAAAGCAUUCUUCUAGAGAUUGCCAUUGUAAUGCCUUGUAUACGGGCCAAAUACAAUUUAUUCCCCUGUGGUUUAGCGCUUCUUCACAUAAUCCCCUAUGGUUUCAAAAGUUUUAUAUAAUCCUCUCAUGAUUUGGAUUAAAGUGUCAAAAUGACGAAAUUUGCAUUCUUUAUCGAAAUCAACUAAAAUGUCAAAAGUAUCCCUAUGUAAAGUUGAAAAUUAUUUAUUAACCGCGGGGGGAGGGGGGUUAUAUAUAUAUAUAUAUUGAAAAUUAUAAAGGGGUUAUAUGGUAAAACAUUUAUCUAUAAAGGGGUUAUAUGGUAAAACGUAAAAUCAUAUGGGGUUGCAUGCAUAUUAUGUUUAUAUAUUUUGGUUAUUUCAAUCAUUUUAGUUUUUAAAUAAGAGUAAUUUUGACAUUUCAUGGGUUCCGUUACAAAUGAUCAUUUCUGUCAUUUUGACACUUUAAUCUAAACUAUGAGAGAGUUAUAUAUAACUUUUGAAACUAUAGGGGAAUUAUGUGAAAAUUGCUAAACUACAGGGGAUAAAGUAUAUUUUGCCAUUUGUAUAUUGCUGUUUUCGAUUGUCUUGUUUGAUAUGACUAUUCGAAAAUCAUAGGUGCCAACAAUUAUUUCUGCAAUCCCCUUUUUCUUUUAUGUUUAUAAAUUUGAAAUUUAUCAUUCAAGCUACAAUAAUUAAUAUGUAAAAGUAUUUUAUUUCUAAAUUUUACAUGUACUAAGAAAAUUAAUGUAUUACUUUUAGGAUAAAUUACAUAUAACCCUCCUGUAGUUUCAUCUAUUGUCAUAUGACCCUCUUGAACGUUUCAAAAUACCCACUUCAUCCUUUAUGGUUUUAUGUAACGUGAAAAUUUGACGAAAAAUAACAUAUGUAAUGCAGUUAGUUGAAAUACGAAUGAUGCUCUUACUUAAGUGCUAAAUCAAUCAAUGGUUUAACCACCUUGAAUAAAACUAUAGGAAGAUUACAUGGAUAAAUGGUAAAACCAUAAGGGGGUAUAUAAGAUAUUUAUAUAAAUCAUAAGGGUGUUAAAUAGACAUUAAGAUUUUAUCACACGCGCUUUUAAAGUGCGUUUGGUAUAAAUGCCAUAACUGAUUGUGCAUUUCGUCCAUUUUUCGUUUUAUAUAAAAUCAUAGGGGAAUUAUAUCACAAUUUUAAAAUUUUAAGAGGGGUCAUCUGGUGUUGUGUAAAAUCACAAGCGGGUAAUAAGUUAUUUACCCUUAUUUUUAUUUAUAAAUAUUAUUCAAAUGAUUCAUCGAAUCAACCACUUAUCCAUCUAUUGACCCAGUGACCCGUCUAUCCGCUCCUUUUUUAAGUUUUCUCGGGCCAACUUGAAUGACUAUGGAGAUUUGUGUUCAUCAAAGAGAGUUGUAUGACAUCAACCAAAGGACCUAUUUCAAAAGGACACUCUUCACAAUUCUUUAGUUGUUGAAUUACUAAGAAAGCAUCCCUUCAAGAAAAAAAUUAGUGAUCCUCAAAAACUCAACUAAUUCGACAGCUUCGUUGGUUGCUAUUGCUUGUGCAACCUAAGCCGUACACAAUCCCCUGAAAACUCUUAGCAAGGCCAGCGACGAUGACACUAUCAUUGUCACGACUAACAGCUCCCCCGAAGCUAAUUUUGAAAUAAUUGCAUGGUGGCGACAACUAAUGCACAUAUAUCUCGAUAUCACUUUAGUCUCUAGAUUCUAAAUUUGGAUACUUUAAUUCCUAAAUUGUAUGUCGAUUCCUAUUUUGGAUGUCCAAAAUCCAUUUUUCCCUCAACUUUUGGAAUUUUUUCUGGGCAUAGUUUGAUCUGAUUUUGCUGCUGUACCCUUGCAACAUGCAACCAUGCUGUUCAAGUGACUAGUAUUCCAUUAAUUUUGAGAUUCUGUUAAAGAUUGUACUUAAAUGCGAUAAUUUUAAUAGUUUGGGGACUAAAAUAUCCCAAUUUAUAAUUUAGGAACUAAAAUAGGAAUUGAGAUACAGUUCAAGGGUGUAAAGUGAAAUUAAUCCGAAAAAAAAUGUAAAACCCAAAAUUUAGGAGUGCCCAUACAUACAUGUAUGUUUUAUUACAUGAAUUUGUUGUCUGAGCAUUUACCUUACCAAUUAUAAUUAAAACUUGCACAGUUAAUAAGCCUCAAAGUUGUGUCAAUUCAAAUUCCUCAACCACUUAGCCUCUAUAUUGUUCGGACAUUUUCACUUUACCCUGCUCUAUUUAUGUUCAACUCUUUAUUUUACACUAGAAUAGCUGUGUCAGAGCAUUAUAAGCUUUUCUUUAACACAAAGUUGUUUGGCAUUAGAUUAAGAAUGUUAUGUUUGCUGUAAAUAUGGCAAGGUCUAAAUAAUGAGAAGACAUUAACAAUCUUUAAUUUUACAGUUCCAGUCUUGCUUGCACAGAAUAAUUUAUUCUUUACCAUUUGUAUGCCAUACCAUUUCACGUUUUUCCAAACCAUGUAGCAAGUCACAGAAAAGAUGAAAAAUUCCAUUCAGAGCAAGAAAGGAAACAGCUUGACAAAAACACAAUACAUCUUCUGUUUCAAGCAAGCCAAAUUUAUCCCAGAGGUUCUAUCAACAAAGACCAGAAAGUUUACAGCCAGGCUGGAUUCUUUAAAGGAGUAACAACAGCCUUCACCUGUAAAUAGUUCUGUAGGCUAUAAAAUCCUUUUUCUCUCCCAUGGCCGCUCAUUUUGUAGCCACCAAAAGGAAUUGCAGCAUCAAAGACAUCAAAACAGUUAAUCCAUACUGUUCCGGCUCUCAGUCCUCGCGAUAACGUGUUUGCUGUGUCGAUGUUCUUCGUGUAAACUCCUGCUGCUAGGCCAUAUCUUGUGGCGUUUGCCCUUCUAAUCACUUCAUCAAGGUCCCUAGCAGGACAGGACAUAUGACACUUUUGAGUACACAUAAAAAUUCAGUUAUGUCUAUUACUGCUGUAUUAUCUUCUCUGAGAGUUCAAAAUAGGGAGAAACCUCAGUUAAUACUUGAUCAUUUUUUUCAUAAGCGGAGUUAGAAAUCCAAGAUGUAGUUGUCCACAUCCAAUUAUUAGAAAGGUAACAAUCUUAUGUAUAUCAGAUUUCAGAGGGCAUUUAGUUGCCAACCUAGCUAGGCUUUUUCUAGAGGUCUUCCUUUUUACUCUUCUUGGAAGGGCCUAGGGGCUGUUUUUAUACCCUUGUAAUGCAGUAGGAUUCGGUUCAGCUCUACAAAAAAGCCCAGAUACUACUAAGCAUGAACAAAAUGCAGAGUUCAGAUGAAAUUCACUAUCAAAUAACUCACUUGAAUUUUAAGAUCGACUGCACUGGGCCAAAUAUUUCAUCCUUCGCUAUCAGCAUAUUAUCCUGUUUGAACACAGAUGUUGGUUGCUUAUGUUAUAAAUUUUUUUUUUUUUGCACGUUGUAGUUGAAGAUUAAUGGAACAGAAAUGCAGGGUUACCUGAACAUUGGAGAAAACAGUUGGUUGAAUAAAGAAGCCCUUAGAACCAAUUCUUUCACCUCCACACUCAAGGGUAGCAUUACUAUCAACUCCAGAUCUUAUAUACCUCAGAACCUUAUCAAAUUGCUCAGAGUCAAUCUGAGACAUUUAUUGGGCAAAGAAACUUUUUUGUUAGAAACCAGAAUUUGUAAUUGAAAAGUAAAAUGUAUAUCGACAAGAAACAGACAUAGCAAACUUUGUUUAUGAUGAAUGUGUUCCACAGAUUAAAAAUUUGCAGGAAGAUUUCCCUUUCUUUCACGACAAUGCUGAGAAUAUGCUCCUCCACAGAAUUAUGUUAUCAUAUUUGAAUGAACAACAGUUGGUUGCAUUACAACACCCUCAAAUACAAUAAAUAGAUUUGGCAUAAGUUGCAUGAGUAAUCUAGAGCCUCAUUUUAUCAACCAUUUUUACACUUCAGCAAGAAUGGUCAAAUGCAGAACAUAUUUUGCCAUGGUCACAGACUAAUAGACAGUCACUGGAGAGCAUGCUUAAAUCCACAUUAAACCAGAGCACAAAAAUACAUUAGAGAAUACCUGAGGGCCUUGUUCAACACCUUUCCUGAAUGGAUCUCCAACUGUACGCCUCAAGGCGCGAGCCUUUGCUUUCUCCAGAAACUCAUCAUAAACACGUUCAUGAACAAACGUACGAGAACCAGCACAGCAGCAUUGGCCCUAAAGGUAGCAAAUGAAAUUCUAAAUAGAGCCUUCAAACCGCAAUAUUAACUUUGGCAGACAAUUCUUGUGCAAACCUGGUUAAAGAAUAAAGCAAAAUGUGCUUCCUCUACAGCCUUGUCGAUAUCAGCAUCCUCACAUACAAUAAAUGGUGAUUUCCCUCCAAGUUCCAGAGUAACUGGUUUGAGAUUGCUUUUUGCAGCCAAUUCAAGCACAAUUUUACCUGUAUCUGUUGAUCCUGUAAAAGCAAGCUGUAGAAAACAAUAAUAAAAAGUUGUAAGAAUCAACCCCAGAUCUUGCUGCACUGUUAUAGUUUUCCGCUUGGGUGCAUUUUAAUGCAAAGAGUUAAAAUAUGCCCCUCGGCUUCUCCCUGAUCAUCAGUAUCCUGAAAAGCUUAAUUUGAAUUCCAAGAGCUUAAUCAUUGUUAAGUCGCUUAUGUGAGUGGCGAGAAUAAAUAACAAGUAUAAUCAACAAUCGAGUGUCAAAACAUUGUUCCAACAGUCAGCCUAGAACAACAGCGUUUGAUAGCAGUCUUAAUUUGUGUUUAUUCUCUGGAAUAUUAAUAGUCCUCACAGAGUAUAUCUUUACGAAAAGACAACUCCAUGUUAAAUCCUUGCAGCCAAGCUUCAAUGGUAUCGCUCUGGAGUCGGUUAGUUAUCCGUGGAUACAAGAAUUUAUCACUUAGUGAACUCAUCCCCUUGAAGCCAGGUUAUAUUAGAUUGGAUACAAGAAUUCAUCUCCUCUUCAGAACUCCUCUAGCUCUAGCUAUCAGAUGUAGUUCUACAAAACCUUACAGUUCAUGUUAGCACAUAGCUGCCAGUAUUCUAUCUUUUAUUAUGCAAUCCUUAAGCAUUACAAUAACCUCUAGCAGAUGAUUCAUAUGAAAGCAACGUUGAUCGAAAGUAUCUAUCAUUCAUGGUUCCAACUGAAAACACAUCUAACCUUGUCAACAUCCAUAUGACUAGCAAGAGCUGCACCGGCAGUAGGGCCAUAGCCCGAGAUUACAUUCAAAACGCCAGGAGGAAGACCAGCCUGCCAAAACUCUAUUAAGUUAAUUGAAAAGUUAUAACUAUGUUAUCACUGUUUGGGAUUUGGGCAUAAGCACCAGGGAAAGACACAUACUCUUGAUUCUAUUCUCAAAACACAGUAUGAAACAAAUGAAUGCUUAAAAAUUAACUUGAAUGAGCAAGCACAUUAUUAGCAAUUACUACAAGUACAGAUCAGGAAAACAGCUUUCUUAAACCAACCUCAUGAAACAGCUUUGCAACGUACAGAGCAGUUAGUGGCGUUUGCUCUGCAGUCUUCAAGACAACGGUAUUUCCAGUUGCUAGUGCAGGCCCUAUUUUCCAAGCAAACAUUAGAAGUGGAAAGUUCCAGGGAAUAAUCUGACCCGCAACACCAAUUGGUUCGUGCAAAAUUUGAACAUGAUGAGCGCCAUCAGCUGGAACAGUUAGACCAUGGAUCUUAUCCGCCCAACCUACAUAUUGAACAUAAGUGUGUCAUGCCAUACACCUUCGGAGCUCAAUAAAUUUCCUGAUAACAUUUCCCUCCAAGCCACAUACCAGCAUAAUAAUGGAAUAUACGGACAAACGUUGGUAAUUCAGCUUUGGCGGCCUGUUCAUAAGUUUUCCCAUUGUCCCAUGUCUCAAGGGCUGCAAGUUCGUCACUAUGCUUUUCCACCAAAUCAGCAAACCGCAAUAAUACCCUUGCCCUUUCCUAAGUUAUUGAUCAUCGCGGAAGAGAAAUUUAAAAAUUGUCAUAUAACGUGCUCUGUCUAGCUGGAACUUGGAAGCCAAAAUCAACCAAAAAAGGAGGAAAGCUUACAUAGGCUGGCAUUUUGGGCCAGGGUCCCUCAUCAAAUGCCUUGCGAGCUGCGGAUACAGCACGAUUGAUGUCCUCAGUAUCACCUUCAGCAACAUGUGCAAUUACCUCUCCAGUCCGAGGAUCCAAUGUUGGAAAUGUUUUACCUUUACAGACAAUUCAAUGCUACUGAAUUUCAUCUUUGAGUAAUCAUAUCGUUUAAAAAUUGAGAAUUCCAUAAGCUAGAUUAACUAUAUAUCUUUGCACAGAGAAAGGAUUACCUGAUGCUGAAUCAACAAAUUGACCAUUGAUUAGUAGCUUGGUGUAAUUAAUCUGAACUGGUGGAGAAAUUGGCUCCUCAACUGCUGCAGUAGCAGUACUGAACCUAUUCAUGCCACUCACCACACCAUAAUUUG
rnacentral:lncRNA from 1 species